CAAAACCCACGGCGGCCGAAAAGAAAAUUCAGACAAGCUGAAGUGGUACCUUCUAAAGUUUAUGGAAACCGAUAAGAUAGUCAAAAGUCAAAAGCCAAAAGGCCAAAGUAAAUAAUUUUCUUUCAUCAAACAGCAAAUGACAAUCCACAACUGAUAUGCAUCAGCAGAAAAGUCGGAGAGAUAUAGAGAGAGAAUACUCUGCUUCGCAGAAGCUUCAUAAUUUUGUAAAAAAUUUUUUUUUUUUUUUUUUUUUUUUUGGCUCUGUCGUUUUUCUUUUAUUUUUUAUCAUAUUGGUUUGAUUUCGUACUUGUUUAGCAAGGCAGAAUAAAAAUAAUUAUUUUUUGGGUAUGGAUUUUUCAUUCCUUUGAUGUUUGUUUUCGUAUUUGUUUAGGGUUUCUCUUCUCUUUCUUGUUAAAGAAAAUUCAGUGUGCUGAUUACUUUUUCUUUUGGACUUUUCUUUUCCCUGGAAAUAUUAGGAUAUUUGUUCUUGUGUAUUUUGCUUCUGUUCUUUUCCUGGGUUUGGUUGGUUUAUUUAUGUUCUUGAUGUUUUUAAUUUUACUGUUGAUGUUUGAAUUGAAUAGGAAUUAUACGAUUGUUUAAUUUUGACUAUGGUUUAUGUUCUAGAAUUGCACAAUAAUUAUAUAUUCCCUUUGACCUUCUUUUUUCUAAGUCUGCUUAAUGAUACUGUUAGGGUUUUUAGCUUAUUUUGCUGUUCCUUUAAUUCGAAACUAUAAAUCAGAGUUAGGCGAGAAAUAUAUACACGAAGGUUUUUUUCGUGGGAAGAGGAGGGAGAAGGGGACAUUAUCUUAUGAGGAUUUGUUGGAAAAAUUGAUCAUUUCAGGGUGAAAAUAAUUUUCUAAAACCUUUGGGGACACUGGUUUGUGGCGGGCCGACGGGCUAUUCCAAUCAUCUUCCAUGCCCUGUGAAUUUUUUAUUUUCUAUUUACUUUGGAGUUGAAGAUAUAAUGCCCUUUGAGCAUUAGUUUGAUCCGUGUAGGAUUUUCGAAAAUCAGUUAUUUUAAUUGAAAUUAUGCCCCUUAAGGUCUAUCAUUAUUUAUGGUAUUAUACCAGGUCUAGGGAUAAUUUGAUUCCAUCUUAGUCAUGCAUUUAGUUAAGAUUUUUUGGUCCGACGUUUUCUUAUUUCAUUUGAUGCAGGGUUUUGACGCGGUGAUAGUUAUGGAUCCCGGAUUCAGUGAAAUGCACAAUAUGAUAAAUGGAUUCGGCUCUGAUGAUGAGACUCUCUUACACGGUUUUGAGCAAUCUCAUGGCCAAGUUAAUGGAUAUAAAUAUGAUGUUUCUCUAGACCCUAAUAUUGCAGAUAUCCCUUUCCUUACGUUCAGCCAGGGCCUUGAAAAUUUCACUCCAUCUUUUAGCGGGAGCUAUGAGGUGGAAUCCCCGGAUGAUCAAGAUUCUGAUCCAGUGCUAAAGUACCUAAAUCAGAUACUUAUUGAAGAAAACAUGGAUGAUAAGCCAAGCAUGUUCCAUGAUCCGCUCGCUUUACAAGCUGCUGAGAAAUCCUUAUAUGAAGUCCUUGGCCAGAAGUACCCACCUUCACCACAUCAAAAAUCUGAUUACUUUAACUGCAGUACGGAAAGCCGAGAUACCUUUUUCGGGAGUUCCAGUGAGAACACUAACAGCAGUACUAACGGCACUAAUUCCAUUGAUCCACAAUGGAUUGUUGAUCCAGGUGAAUUUCAUUCAUCGGUGGAACAGAGUCAGUUGCUGGAUACUGCUUCCAAAUCUGCUACAAAAACUAGUUCACAGUUGUCGUUUGGUUCUGUGAACAGCUUCAACGAUAAUAUCAAUAUCCAGAUGAGCUCUUUUGAAAAUACCAGCCUAAUUCCAAAUAUAUUCAGCGAUAGUGAAUCUAUCUUGCAGUUCAAGAGAGGGAUGGAAGAAGCUAGUAAAUUCCUUCCCCCAAGUAAUCAGUUGAUUAUCGACUUGGAUAAAUACACACUGCCUCCAAAAUCAGAUGAAACGACUCAUACGGUCACAGUGAAGGUAGAAAAGGAUGAGAUAGAUCACUUAACUAAUGGCUCGAGGGGAAGGAAGCAUCACCAUCCAGAGGAUGGCGAUUCAGAAAAUGUAGAGAGGAGCAGCAAGCAAUCGGCAGUUCAUGUAGAAGAUGUGGAAUUACCCGAAAUGUUUGACAAAGUCCUUCUUUUCGCUGAUGUCAAAUGUGAGCCCAUGCAUUGUAAUGUGGACACUAAAUUGCCCGGUGGAGAGGAAAAGAACUUGUUGCAAACUGUACUACCUAAUGGGUCAAAUGGAGGUCGAACUCGGGCUAAGAAGCAUGAGAAUAAUAGUGAAGUUGUGGACCUUAGGACACUUUUGAUCAGCUGUGCACAAUCUGUUGCUGCUGAUGAUCGUAGAGCGGAAUCUGUACAAUUACAGCAGAUUAGGCAGCAUGCUUCUCCCACCGGUGAUGCAUAUCAGAGGUUGGCAUAUGUAUUUGCCUAUGGUCUUGAGGCACGCUUUUCGGGCACUGGGACCCAGAUUUAUGCAUCCCUUGCAUCCAAGAAUAUUACAGCUGUUGAGAAGUUGAAAGCUUACCAGGUUUAUCUUUCGGCCUGCCCGUUCAAGCAAAUAUCAAUUAUCUUUGCAAACAAGAUGAUUAUGAAAGCAGCAUCAGAAGCAACAACACUGCAUAUUGUAGAUUUUGGUAUUCUUUAUGGUUUCCAGUGGCCUAGUCUCAUUCAGCAUCUUUCAAGGAGACCUGGUGGGCCCCCCAAGCUUCGGAUUACUGGAAUCGAGUUUCCACAACCUGGCUUUCGCCCAGCUGAAAGAGUAGAAGAGACUGGGUGCCGUUUGGCGAAAUACUGUGAACGAUUUGGUGUACCAUUUGAGUAUCAAGCCAUAGCAACACAGAACUGGGAGACCAUCAAAAUUGAGGACCUGAAGAUUGCACAUGGUGAGGUGCUUGCUGUGAACUGUCUGUAUCGAUUUGGUAGGUUGCUUGACGAGACUGUUGAAGUUGACUGUCCCAGGGAUGCAGUUCUGAACUUAAUUAGGAAAAUGAAUCCGAAUAUAUUUGUGCAUGCUGUUGGCAGUGGAUCAUAUAGUGCUCCAUUCUUCAUUACACGUUUCAGGGAGGCUCUCUUCUACUACUCAGCAUUGUUUGAUAUGUUGGAUACUACGCUACCUCGUGAUGAUCCGCACAGGAUGAAUUUUGAACAGGAAUUUUAUGGGCGCGAGAUAAUAAAUGUUAUUGCUUGCGAGGGGGCAGGAAGGGUUGAGAGACCUGAGACACACAAGCAGUGGCAAAUCCGCACUAUGAGGGCUGGAUUCAAACCCCUUCCUUUGAAUCACGAGUUUAUGAGGAAAUUAAGGAAUAAAGUGAAGGCAGGGUAUCAUAAAGAUUUUCUGUUCGAUGAAGAUGGUAAUUGGAUGUUGCAGGGAUGGAAGGGCAGGAUUAUUUAUGGUAGCUCAUGCUGGGUUCCUGCAUAGGAAGGCUGUAUUCUAUUUUGAACUAAAAGGGGGACAAACGUAAUUCCUUAGCAAGACUAGAGGUGAUUUUUUUUUAUUAUUUUUUUUUUCCCAAAAGAAAAUCUCAAACUAGCCUCUCUACAUCAUGUGCGUAAACACCAGCACACACACGCAAGCACAAGAAUGCACACGGGCAGCAAAAACCCAUAUACAGUUCUUUAUACACAUGUAUAAUGAUAAAUCUGUUUUUCUGUUUGUUUGGCAAUCCAUAUGUAACAUCUUCCUGCUGUGGUAUCAUGUUAUUCCUUACAGUAGCUAUACUUAUUAAGCCUUAAUGAUGCAAAAUUUAAGUGUGUUAUUGGAGAAUAGAGUUUGAUUUCGAUUAAGGUUGUUUAGUUUGGACUAGAUUAUAUUUGAUAUUUUUUGUAAGGCCAUGGUUAACUAGAAGUUCCCUCGAGUUUAAAUUAUUUGAUCUGUGAAAGGCAAGCUAGGUGGUUAUUGAGAUUAAAUGACUGAAUCCAUUGUUCUCUCUUUCAGAUGAUCUAAUGAUUCACCAGCAUUCUUUCAGAGGAUACUUGUGGAUUAGACAGAUUCGUGAGAUUCACUAAUGUAACCAGAUCUUGAGGUUUUACUCUCAAAACCAUGUUCAUAUGGUAUGGAUUAUGGCCCCGAAUUUACUCUGCAGAGCAGGAAUUUUAAUAUAUUUCAAAUUUCUCUCGUUCAAGAUGGCGCAAAGUUACUAUUAAUACCAGCAGCAUUACUUGAUUAGUUUGCUUGACUAUGAAUGUGUUACUAUAUGGCAUGGUGGGUUCCUUUUCUUGUAUAAUUAUUGUCAGAUUGUAGUUUUAAGUGGACUAUAUACAUAAUAGCGUGACUUUAUAAGCCAUCUUUGUAGUGUUCCCUGUUUCUGGUAUGGUUUAAAUUUCUGUAUGUGCUCGACUGUUAUAGCCUUAUAGUACAUUAACAUACUUCUUAAGAGCAUGUUUGGUUGGACUUAUAAGUUGUUUUUCUAGAAGUUCUGUUAGUCAACUUUGAAAAUCUUGUUUGCAAAAUAAGUGAGUUAAUUUGACUCGCUGUUAAGCACAACUAAACAUGCUAUGAAGUUUUGUUUCUGAUAAGUUUGGAGCUGGUUACUCGAAUCUUUUGUCAUCGGUAGGUUCUCUUCAUUAGUAGAUUUACUGAGAGACAUAUGGAGACACUAAUGGUAAUUAGUUGCUUUCAGUUGUUUGAGCAUUGGAAAAAUGCUAUGACUUUCUGUUGUGCAAUAAUGUGUUAUAUGCAACUGCGUACCAAACACGUCUCUUUCUGUUUAUAGUCUCGUUUUACUUUAAUUGUAAUUGUACAAUGCAGUUUUGGCUUGUUCGAUUUUCAUUUUCGAGUAUUUACAUAUUUGAGAUCACUUUUCUCCAUAUCAGUGGACAAAUAAGAGGUUUCAGUGUCUAUUUGGAACAACUCAUAUGGGAUCAAUUAUGUUCAAUUGUCUCAAAAGAUGUUUAAUUUUUUGAAAAUAUGGCAAUUUAAGAUAGGAAGUUAAAAAUUUCCCGACUAUACAAAAGAAUGGAGUGGAUAAGAAGUAUUACAAAAAUUAAAAUACUCGUUCACAUUUGAACUCGCUUUUCAUAAAAACUCAUCUCUUUUUAUUUUCUUUGAAGAUGGAAAUCUUUAGGCUACGUUUGGUUUGGCGUUUUCAGGCAGUUUUUAGUUUUUGAAAAUACGGAAAACACAUUUGGUCCGUCAUUUUCGAAAACGAGGUAAAAUUUACAACUGAAAAUGCAAAACGAUUUUUUAUCGUUUUGAGCGUUUUUAGUUAUAAAUGCACAAAAUGCGUCGUUUUCGGGGAAAAUUAAAAACUAUUUUGAAACUAAAAAUGGAAAACUGAAAACUAAACUGCAACCUUAAUUUUUAUACUCAUUUUUAAUUACAGAUUUAUGCAAUAAAAUAUUUUACGGAUAAAUUUUAAAAAAAAAAUUCAUACCUUUUAAUCACACAUUCUAUAAAAAAAAUCAUUAUUUAAAACAUCAUUUUUGAAAAAAUAAUAAUCAUCAAACGGGGCUCAAUUUGAGUAAAUAUCUUUCAUUUUAAGGGAUUUUAUGUCGACUUGUUUGAACUUAAGCCCCUGUUUGAUCCCCAUUAAAUUAAAUUACAUUACAUUAUAUUUCUCUCUCUCCUAUUUUCAACCACACAAUCUUCCAUAAAAUAAUAUUAAACGUAAAUCAAAAACUUUUUCUUCUUUUUCAACCACUCAUUUUCUAAAAAAUAUUAUUCCCUCUAUUUUCAUUUUCAGGUAAUGGGGGUCAAACAAGGGCUAAAUUGGGGAUCUAGUUUUACUCCCUAUUCUAGUUUAAUGAUUUGACGGUUAAAUGUGACGGCAAAAAUAUUUAUUUAUAACCAUUCGAACUUGAUCGAGUUAGCCAACUUAGUUUUAUUCCAAUUAAAAUUGACUUGGUUUUGAGUUUUAGAAUCAAGAAAUCAGUACUCAAUGGCUGCUAUACAACCAAAUUCUAACAUGGUGUCAGGAUUAUUUUUUAUUUUCUUUAAAUAAAAUAUACUUUACAUGAAUUUACAUUAAUUAUUAUGUAUUUAAAAUAGUCAAUAGUCUUUUUUCUUGAAGUGGAAAGGGUGGAAAUAAAACAAAAAAUUUACAUAGCAAUCAAACUUGAUCGAACUAGAGUUGAUCGAUUCUGUUACUUAAAAAUGGUAUAUAAGAAAUUACAUAAAAUGAUGUGAAGUGAAAAGAUUAGAUGAAAAGGUUAAAUUUCGCUUAAACUGACAAAUGAUAGAGUGACAUGUGACAUUAUAGAAUCAAUUAUGUAAGGUUUGAUGUACAUGUAGCAAGGUCAUUUUCAUAAUUUUUAAAAGGAAUUGUUUUGAUCCGGUUUUCAAAAACAUAGACCGAAUCACUCGUUGUCCCAAUUUUCAAGGUGUAACUCAUACAUUGUAGGAAGUUUAUGAACCGAUUUAUAAGUUGUCCCAAUUUUCAAGGUGACAAGCGUGCACACCAAAGUGCGUAUGGCACGUUUCUGCAUAACCUUGGAGUAAUUCGUUUGAGCCCUGCGUGAUUAUGGAAAUACCAUGCAUACGCACAGGGUACUUUUCAGGCAUGCGCGAAACUUUCCUUCUAUGAUUGAAAUUCCUUUUGGAAACUAAUUUUGUAUGAUUCUUUAACUAAUUUCAACAAAUAUAAAUACCGAACGUGAGCAUAACCUCUCAACAUCUCUCAUAUCUCAUAAUUCAUCAAAUAUUACAAUCAAAAGAGAGAGAAAUCAUCAUUCUUUUUGGAAAAAUCACGAGAUAAGGUACAAGAAUUCAUUCAAUUAGAGAUUCAAUCUUAAUCGUUGGGCAAAGAAGAGGAAUGUGCAGUUAGAGACAAUCAAGAAACCAUUAAAGAGAUUUAAGAACUUCAAGAUUCUCGUAUUUUUCUUCAUUCAACUAAAAAAAGAGGCGAUGUUCUACAAAACAACUAUGAAUUAUUGUAAUUUUGUAAUGUUAAGCUAAGAUCUUUAGUUGCUCAGACAUAGAAGAACUUUAUUAAGAUUUUUUAAUAUAAUUUCAAUGUUUUGACACUUAAUACGCCUUGGAUUAUUGUUAUAGAAUUUGAUUUUUUUCAAUUUCUUGAUCAUUAAUUGGAUUGAUAUGUGAAUUUUACUGUUAUCAAAAGAGACAAUAAGAUAGAUAGCAUGUUAUAAUAACAAUUGUGAGGUCCAAUAAAGAAUAGAGAUAUACUUCUAUGUCUUGCACGAUUUCAACAUAAUCUAACAAAAACUCUCCUCAUUUGCUCAUUAGAAUAAUUAGUUUAAUUUGAUGAAUUAAUAUAGAAUUGAUAAUCAAUACUUGACUAUUCAAUUAAAGUUAAUAUUAAUUGACAUUAGAUUAAAUACAUAGUCUCCAUUAGAUGAUAUCUUAUUCAUUGUUUUAUUAUUUGUCAUUUGCGAUAUUUUGUAUGAUUAAUAUUAAUUCUCAUGUUUAUUCUCUCAAGAAAACAUCUAUAUAUAGAUGGAAACACCUCUUGCACGAAUGGACACAAUGAAUGCAGGAAAGACACAAUUUUUCGUAGAAAUUGAACCAUCUCGUAACCUAACGACUAUGUGUUCGUGCUGAUUAACAGGGCAGCGUACCAAUGCAGUGGACACUGCUGCCCAGACAGCAUAAUCGAGCUGCUUUAGGUAGCAUUCCAGUCCCAUUUUCCUUUCAGGAAUUUACCACCAUAAUACUUCGGCGCCCUGCCUUUCAAAAGGAGAUUCGAUAGAUCUUUGUAUAUAGUAUGGAGCCAUCAUCGAGCAUGGUAUAGCACGUGAAGUUAGGUUUAGGCUGUAUAGAGAAGAAUUUAAAAACGCCCCUACUCCUGUUAUAAUUUAAACAAAUUACAAACAUAUUAUUCAUUAUUUCCCAUUGCAGUCUAGUCCAAUAAUUCUGCAGUGGAGGCAGCCAUUACUUAAAUCCAAUUUCAAGAAUCUCUAUCAUUCCCAAAUAUCCAACACAACACUGCACGGAUAUAAUGAUAUUAUUUAUUAUUUCUCCUUCUUAUCUGUAUGUUUUGUUGAAUAUAAGUUUAAAAACAUUCAAAUUGCAAAUUCAAAUUUCAGUUUUCUUGUAAAUUAAAUUUCAGUUUUUUAUUUUAAUUUUUAGAUUCAAUACAAAUUUUUUUAUCUCAUUAUUAUAUUUACAACUUAUUUAAUUUGAUUAAUUUCCAUUAUGAGGGAGUUCGACUUUUCUUCUAUAAAAGGGAGUGAAAUUUUCAUUGUUUGACAAACAAAAACAAACACUUGAAAAACACUCUCUAAUCAUUACAUUAUUAUUUUCUUUUAUAAUUUUGGCAAUUGAUAAUGACUUGUUUUUCUAUCUGUGUGGUUGUACCCAUAGAAGCAGAUUUUGCAUUCUGUACAAUGCCGAAAGUACUCGUACAAAGGAGAAACCACACGUCUUCAGGAUAGUGUUUAUCGCGACUUUCUUAGGCCAACUUUUCUAACUCUAUUUUCAUAUUUAUGUUAUUUGGUUCAUAUUUAAAGUUGAUAUAUUAUUACGCAAAUCAUAUAAUUUUCACAACAAUCAAAAGUCAUCUGUGAUUUGUGUAAUAAUAAUUCAUGAUUGGCACAAUAUUUUAGAACUUUUGUUAAUCUCCUUUAUAAACUUACUGCAUAAAUUUUGCAUUCUUUGGGAGCUUAUAUAAAUUUAUUUUCUCAUUAAAUAUUACACUCUUCAAAUUUGCCUUUCACUAUUCUAAUUUUAAGAAAGUAUUUCCACUUUGAUAAUUUAUCGGAAAGUUUUGAAAUACAUUAUUAUAUACUUGCUUGCUAAGUUUACUUGAAUCUUAAUUUUGCAUCACUAAAUAUGGAAUUUCUAACUGCAUUCACUAGAUAACAUCCCAAAUAUUUUAAAUUCUAGAACAAGUUCCAAUUCUAGAAAUGUUAUUAACAAUAUUCAUUUUAUUGUCUAAAAAGUGCAUUGUUAAUAUAAUAUUAAUUGUAGUUAUUGCAUUUGAAACUUCAAUAUCCAUUUAAUCUCUUAUAUCAUUACUUGGAAUCUUUUAUUGUUUGAGAAUUAAUACAGCCAAAUUUUUAAAUAUUUGACUUAAUUGAAAAUUUUAUUGUUGGUGUUAUAUAAUUCAUAGUGAAAGAGUGACAAAAUAUGGAAUUGAUGAUGUUGGUGUUAGUAAUUCAUAGUGAAAGAAUGACAUCUCAUGAAGAUAUUAAUAGUGUUAAACUUGCAAAUUUUGAUGGAAAAUCCUUCAAAAGAUGGAAAAAAAAAAUAUUGGUUGAUCGUUCUAAAGUUAAUUUCUGCUAUAAAAGAAAAUAAUGAAGGUAGAGAGUCUACCUCAUAGUAUAACCUAGAACAAACUGAAUUCCAUUGUCAUAAUCAAAUUCUAAGUGCUCUUUCUAAUAGAUUUUAUGAUAUUUAUCAAAAUAACAAGAGUGCUAAAGAACUUUGGAAAACUUUAGCGGCAGAAUAUGGAAUCGAUGAUAUUGGGGUCUAUAGAUUUAAUGCGUCAACCUUUAACAAAUAUGUGAUCGUGGAUGGAAAAUUUAUAAAUGAACAAAUUCAUGAAUUUCAAGAUUUAAAACGAUAUGUAGAAGAAAAAGGGUCAAGUUUUGGUGAGUAUUAUAAGGUUUCAUACCUUAUAGAUAAACUUCCACCUUCUUGGUCGAAUUUUGCUAAAGGUCUUAGACAUAAGCAAGGGAUUUUGACACUUAAAUCGAGUAUUCACUUCUUUGAGAGUAGAAAAGCAUCAUAAAAAUCAUAUCAACAAAUCGAUGAAUCACAUGCUAAAGCAAACUUGGUAGAAAAUUAAAAAACCCUACUAGCUUCACAAAGCAAUUUAAGUUUUAAGUUUAAGAAAAAAUUUCAUCGUUAUAGGAAAAAUCUCCAACCUAAAAAUAAUUACACUAAGGAUAACAAAUGCGAAAAGGAGCAAGUGCCACAUUAUAUAGGUAGUAGAACACACCAUCUUGAUCGAAAUUGCUAGUACAAAACGAUGAAAGAGUAUUAAAAUACCCCAAAAUUUUUUAAGGUCGUUAAUUAUGAAAUUAGGACCUUAAUGUAAGAGGAUGAAAGUUAGAGGAUCAAAUUGCAUAUAGACCAAUAGUUGAGGGACUACAAGUGCUAUUAAAUAAACUACCAUAUAUGUAUGAAUAUAUGUGUGUAAUUAUACACGAUUAUGACUAAUUGAUUUAGAUUAUAUGAUUACUAUAAUUACAUGAUCUAUAUAUGUAUAAUUAUAUAUAAUUAUGCUCGAGUGAUUUAAAUUAUAUUGUUACUAUAAUUACAUACCUCUCUGUAUGUGUAAUUAUAUACAUUUAUGGCUUAUUGUUUUCAAAUAUAGUAUGACUACAAUUAUUUGCGUCUAUCUAUGUAUAAUUAUAUAUACUUAUGGUUGAUUGAUUUUAAAUAUAGUAUUACUACAAUUACGUAAGUCUAUGUAUGUAUAAUUAUCAAUGUUUUGAAAAUGGAUCGGACCGGCCGGUCCAACCGGAAAAGUGGAAAUCAAUCUCAAAUUCGAUCCAGUGCAAAUUUAUUAAUUGAAAAUGAAAAAACUGGUAAACAACCCGUUGAACCGACCAUUUUAACUGAAAACUAGAAAAUCAGUUAACAAGUUUUUUUAUUUAAAAAAAAAAGGAAAUUACUUGGCCCCUAUUUGAGGCACAUUAUUUGGCCAAAAAAAUGAAAAUUUUUACAAUUAACCAUCACAUCAUGCUAGGUUUUUUUGACUUCUCAUCUCUUUUGUGGGGCCCGACUGUUCUAAUAACGGCUAGAAUUUUCAUUUUAAUGAACCAAAAAAUGCCCUUCAAACAGGUGCUUGAUAAAUGGGCUUAAGCAUUCGCAAGCCCAAUUCUACCUUCCUUUCACUUCAAGCGUUGAUUUUAAAAGAGAAAAGUCAUAUAAAGUUUUUCUUAACUUUCGAUGUGGGAUAAGUUGUGUAACCUUUCUAAUUUAUAUAUUUAAUAAUUGUUCAUUUCCUUUUUUCUAUUAAAUAAAUUUUGGUUCCCAAAGCACAAAUAAUUUCAAUUUGAACAAAGCAAAUUAUUUUAAACACAUUAAUUGUUAGUUUUUGAUGUUUUAAAAUAAACUAUAGGACAAUAAAUCUAAUUGACAAAUAUUGAUUCAUAUUUACUUUGAAUUAGUAAUACUGAAAUUUAAAAAAAUUGUUGUUAUUAUAAUAUUUUAUAUUUUGUUGGAGUAUUUAUUUAUUUAAUUUCGAUAUCUGGUUCGGCCCUGAUCAAUCCUAAUUCGACUAUUUGACCCUUUUUCUUUUUCGAGUUGAUGUCUGGAUCAAUUUUUAAACAUUGAUAAUUAUAUAUAAUUGCAGUUGACUUAUUAAUUUAAAUUAUAAUGUUAUUAUAAUAAUGUGCAUCUAUGUAUGUAUAAUUAUAUAUAAUUGUGGUGAUUGAUUUCAAAGAAAGAAAAAUCUAGCUGCAACCACAAAUAGUACAUACAAUUUUACAAUUUUCAAAUAAAAUUAAAAACUAAGAAAUUACAAGUUUUUUUUUUUUUUUUUGGGAAUUUUGAAUUUUGCUAGACAUUUUAUUAAAGACUCAGGAAAGUAAAUAUGAACAUUGUAUGGUUAGUUUGUCUAACAAAGGACAAAAAUAUUUUAGUCAUUCACAUAUAGAAAUAGUUAGAAAGAUAAAAGACAUAAAUAUUUUAGUCAUUCACAUAUAGAACUAGUUAGAAAGAUAAAAGAUAAAGUUAAAAUUUUACCAUCAUUAGAAUUACUGUUAGAUAGUUAUUAUAAAACAAUAGAAAUAGAAGGAUAUGAACUAGGAUGGGGAGGAAUUUUAAACUCUGAACCAAAUAAAUAUAGUGAUAAAAAGGAAUAAAAUAUUUGUAGAUAUGCUAGUGAAAAUAUAAAAUAAAAGGAAAAUACUUGACUAGUUUAGAUUAUGAAAUAAUGGCUAUCAUACAUAGUAUAGGAAGGUUUAAAUUAUUCUUAAAUACUAAAUUUACAAUUAGGACAGAUUGUGAAGCCAUAGUAAAAUUUAUUAAAAAGAUAAUUUAUUUAUUUUUUAUAAAAUAAGACAUAAAAGAUGGUUAAAACUAUAUGAAAUAUUAAAUAGUUAUAAAAUCAAUAUAGAAUACAUAAACGGGAAAAAUAAUAUUUUGAAAGGACAAUUUAAAUAGAUAUGUUAUUAAUUUUCUAACCAAUUAUUUUCAUGGUGCAAAUGGAUCAUAAGAUGAUGAACUUUGGGAAUGUGAUUCUAAGAGUGGCUCCACGAGGGCCUAGUCUCCGAUUUAGAGAAAACAAUUUAAAAAGACUUCUAGAAAGAGAACGUUGUCUAUUAGAUAAUCUCUGGAUAGCACGUAAAUCUAAACAAAAAUUAGACAGCCUUAAUACUCUAACAAAACAUUUUAGACAGAUUCACAAUCAAGUCAAAAACAGAGAUUUUAUUUUCUUUACUGUAAUUAAAGAUAAAAUGCCCAAUAUAUAUAAUUAUUGGCCAAAAGUAUUACAACUAGUAAAAAGAUUUUCAAACCAUUUUUUCAAAGAAUUUUACACAUUAGAAGAAGCUUUAAAUUUCUGUAGAGAAAUGAUAGGAUUUAGUUUUUUUUUAUAUCUGAAAGAGUUAGAUUGACUAUGACUAUGCAAAUUGCCACCUCUCAACCUUCAUCAUCAUCUUCAUAAGUACAUUUUUGUAAUAGUUGUGAAACUGCGAUCAAGGUUGAUAGAAAUUUGAACUUUAAAAAGCAUUCAUUAGAAGAAAGAUUACAAAUUCUUGAAGAUGAGGUCUCUUCAUCUCAACAAGCCAUUAGCAAUAUCAAAAUGAGAUUCUUCAGUUAUAAGAUAAUUUAAAAAGACUCGGUUCUAAAGAAACUGAUGAAAGACCAAUCUCUUAAGAUAUUACUUCUAAAAAUAAAAUUUAUUCUAAUAAAAUAGAAAGAUUUAUUGAAUUAACAUACUCUACUGCUUUAGGACAAGAAAAGACUUUAUAUAAAUUAGAAUAGAAUAUUGGCAAUUGUAUCAAUAUUGUUCAAGAUUCUAUAAAAAAAAGUCAGCCGUACAUGAGAUCAUCAAUUUAUCUCAAAUUCUCAGCUACUAUCACAACGAAAAUCGAUAUUUUCUUAAACAUGGCCCCAAAUAUGAAUUAUCUACUAAAAAUUUUACUUUUCUUAGACAUAUUUAUAUUAUAAUUAACUUUGAAUGUACAAUUUUUGAAGAAGAAUACCUCCUUUAUCUAGUCUUACAAUUUAGCAUGAUAGGCACUAUAUACUUUUGAAACAGAUCAUUAAGAUUCUUUCCACCUAAACUCAAAAAAAAAAAAAAAAAAUCUUGAUUGCGCCAUGAAAAUAAUUGGUUAGAAAAUUAAUAAUGUCUACUUAAAUUAUCUGCCAAAAUAUUAUUUUUCCCAUCUACGUGUUCUAUAUUGAUUUUAUAACUAUUUAAUAUCUCAUAUAAUUUUAACUAUUUUUUUUAUGUCUUAUGUUAUUAGAAUUCGUCUUCUAAUAAAUUUUACUAUGACUUAACAACUGUUCUAAUUGUAAAUUCAGUAUAUAAGAAUAAUUUAGAGUUUUCUAUACGAUGUAUGAUUGCUAUUAUUUUAGAAUCUAAACUAGUCAAGUAUUUUCCUUUUAUCUGAUAUUUCUGUACGUGCUUUAUCAAAUCCUCUUGAGAUUUAUGGGGUAAGGGUAGUUAUAUGUUGUAUGUUAAAUCAUUUUUCAUUCUUUAAAAUACAGAAUUCGAUUUAUGAAUAUGAUAUGGGUCCUAUAUAUAUUUAAGUUCAAUGAAUCGAAAUUUAGAAUUGUUAAGUACAGGAAUUAUAGCAACAAAGUAUAGUUCUUAAUUUUCGUGUCUCCCUAUAUUUGUUACGACUAUGUACGGAGUUUAUGGUCGCCUAAAUUCGGUUUAUGAUCCCCGUAUUUCCCUAUGUACAUUAAGAAUUUAUAAACUUUAAAUAUAAAUUAUGAAUUAUGUGACUCACAUAUUGAGAUUUUAUCUCAUUAUUUACGAUUUUUCUCCUUUUAGGUAAUUGAGAUUCAAGGCAUUAGUAUUUGGAAUUGACCACUGCGGUAUAAUAAAGAUGGGAUAAUUUAAGAAUUUUAACAAUAAAUUUUAAGAUUAAGAAAGUGUUUUAUUUUUAAUUAUUUUAACUUUGGGAAUAAUUAACUUUUAUGAUAUGUAUUUAACGAUUCAAAGGGUAAAUUUUGGGUCAUCACAAAUGGUAUUAGAGCGGGUCUACGUUUAUGUAGACACUUUAAAAAAAAAAUGAAAUUCUAUGAGUUAUUGUUCAUAUUAAAAUAUUAAAUGUUGAAUUUAUGAUUAUGUUAAAAUAUUUUGCUAAUACAAAUCAGAAUUAAUGUUUCUUAGACCACCACCACGCGACGCCAAGUUCCAAGCUUUGAUUAUCUCGAAUCAUGUAGAAAAAUAUGACAAUUCAUAAUUAUUUAAUGAUAUAUGAAUAAGUAUGAAUACACAUAAGAUAAUGUUAGAACUAUGCUUAAUUAGGUAUAAUAUUCACUUUGUAGAUGUUAUUUUUCAUGUUAAUCAGUUUAUUAUGUGAUAUAGAUAUAAAUUAUUAUUCCAUGAAUAUAGUUUAUUGCGAAAAAAAAAUCAUUGUGGAUAUUAUAAGUUAUGAGAAUGAUAAUUUUAUGAUAUCGUGUAAUUUUAGACUAGUAACUAUGUUAUGGAACACAUUACCUACGAGAGCAGCCGACAUUAGAAAAUCUCUAAAUUAGAUAAUAGAGUCUAAUUAGGAAAAUUUUUAUCUCUGGAUCUUUUUAUUCCUACUUAUUUUUUGGAGUUUUCUUGGUUUGCAUAUUCGUAAAACUAAAAAGGUUUUUGUUAAAAUGACCUAAACUAUUUAAGGAGAGUUUGAGAUUUAAGUGAUCUACUUGUGACCCCCUUCCUCACCUAGAAGCCAAUCAAUUUAGCGUUAUUGAGAUCAAUAAAACAAAAACAAUAAUAUUAACUGCAAUUUUAAGAAGAUUCUCAUCUUUUAGAACCUUUAAGAAAACUCUAUUUUAGAAACCUUUAUUUAAAGAAAUCCUAUAUUAUGAAACUUUAUUUUAGAAAAUUCGAUUUCAUGAAAUUUUCAUUUUGAAAAGCGUCUGUUUUGAGAAACUACAACAUAAAAUGAAACUUCAAAUUAUUAGAAACUUCCAUUUUACAAAUAUUCUCAACUAUUUGUUGAUAACAUAUAAGGUAAUUUUUUAUGAUGAUAAUUUAUUUGAAGAGGGAUAGAUUGUAAUACACCAAAAAAAAUUUUAGUCGUUAUUUAUGAAAUUAGGACCACCUAAGUGUAAGAAGAUGAACGUUAGAUGACUAAAUUACAUAUAGACCAAUAAUCAAGGGACUGCAAGUGCAAUAUGUGUGUGUUGAAAAAUUGAAUGGAAUUAAUUAAGUAAAUUACCAUGUAUGUGUGAAUAUAUGUGUAUAAUUAUGACUAAUUGAUUUAAAUUAUAUGAUUACAAUAAUUACGUGCAUCUAUUUAUAUAUAAUUAUAUAUGAUUAUGAUUGAGUGAUUUAAAUUAUAUUGUUACUAUAAUUACGUACGUCUAUGUUUGAAUAAUUAUAUACAUUUAUGGCUGAUUGGUUUCAAAUGUAGCAUGACUACAAUUACGUGCGUCUAUGUAUGUAUAAUUAUAUAUAAUUAUGAUUGAUUGAUCUAAAUUAUAGUGUUACUAAAAUUACGUGCAUCUGUGUAUGUAUAAUUUUAUAUAAUUAUGGUUGAUUGAUUUCAAAAAUAGUGUUACUUCAAUUACAUAAGUGUACGUAUGUAUGAUUAUAUAUAAUUACGAUUGAUUGAUUCAAAUAUAAUAUGACUACAAACAUGUACAUCUAUACUUGCAUAAUUAUAUGAUUGAUUUAAAUUAUAAUGUUACGAUAAUUACUUGCAUCUAUAUAUGUAUACGUAUAUAUAAUUAUAAUUGAUUGAUUUCAAAUAUAGGCCCCGUUUGAUAGCCAUUUUUUUCACUGUUCUUUUCAACCACACAUUCUUUAUUAAAAUAAUAUUACACGUAAAUCAAAAACUUUUCUUUAUUUCUCAACCACACAUUUCACAUCAAUUUAUUAUUCUAAAAUGUAUUUUUACAUAAAAAUGCCUAUCAAACACCCCAUAGUAUUACAACAAUUACGUAAAUCUAAAUAUGGAUAAUUAUAUAUGAUUAUGAUUGAUUGAUUUAAAUUAUAUAUAUGAGUGUGUGUAUGUGUGUAACUAUGAUUGUCUCUAACUAUGCACAAUUCAUAAACGAUUGUUUGAGGUCAAGCUCUUUUGUAGUCGUUUUAUCAAAUCCUCUUCAGAUUUUAUGAAGUGUACUCAUAUGUUGUAUGUUAAAUCAUUCUUCAUACUUUAAAAUACGGAAUUCGAUUUAUGAAUAUGAUAUGGGUCCUAUAUGUUUAAGUUCAAUAGAUCAAAGUUUAGCAGCGCUAUGCAUGAAAAUUAUAGCAACGAAGUAUGUUCUUAAUUUUCGUGUCUCCCUAUGUAUGUUAUGAUUAUGUAUGGAGAUUAUGGUAAACUAAGCUCAGUUUCUGAUCCCCAUAUCUUCUUAUGUACGUUAAGAAUUCCUAAUUUUUAAAUAUAAAUAUGAUUUAUGCAGCUCAUUUAUUGAGAUUUUAUCUCAUUAUUUAUGAUUUUUCCCCUUUUACGUAAUUGAGAAUCGAGGCAUUGGAAUUUGAAACUGGUAAAAAAGUGUUUUAAAUAAUACUCCAUCAAGUUCAUCAUUAGAAGAUGAAGUUGAACAUGAACUUAGACGAAGUAAAAGGACUAGGAAAGAGAAAUCUGUUGGAGAAGAAUUUGUUACAUAUCUAGUUGAAGGCCAACCUGAAAAUUAUAAAGAUGCUAUGGUCUCUUCUGAUGCACCUUAUUGGAAAGAACCUAGCAUUGAUGAAUAUGAGUGAAUUUUACAAACUGAUAUUUGGAUUUUAUGUGAUUUACCUCAAGGUAGUAAGGCAAUAGGAUGUAAGUAGGUAUUUAAAAAUAAGUUAGAACCUGAUAAAAGUAUAGAUAAAUAUAAGUUAGGUUAGUAGCUAAAGAAUUUACUCAAAAAGAAGGAAUUGAUUAUUUUGAUAUAUAUUCUCCUAUUGCAAGAAGAACUACUAUUAGGACAUUAUUAGCAUGAACUAGUAUACAUAAAUUGAUCAUUCAUCAAAUGGACGUUAAGACUAUAUUUUUUGAAUGGCGAUUUAAAUAAAGAAAUACAUAUGAAACAACCAGAAGAUUUUAAAGACAAAUGACAAGAACAUAAAGUAUGUAAAUUAAUGAAGUCAUUAUAUGGACUAAAGUAAGCUCCUAAAUAGUGACAUGAGAAGUUCAAUAGAUUAAUAUUAAAUUAUGGAUUUAACAUGAAUGCACAUGACGAAUGUGUAUAUUGCAAAAAAGAUAACGAGUAUGUGAUACUUUGUUAUGCGUAGAUAACAUAUUAAUAUUUGGGACAAAUUUAGGUUUUGCUAAUGAUUUAUUUGUCAAAGAACUUUAAAAUGAAAAUUUUGGGAAAAGCCCACAUAAUUUAAGGAAUGAAGUUAAGGAAACAUCUGAUGGAACUUCACUAAAUCAAUCUAGUGUUAUUAAAAAGAUGUUAGAAAAGUUUGGAUAUUAUGAUAAUAAAUCAGUUUCUACUCCAUAUGAUUUAAAUGCUCAUUUGAAGAAGAAUUUAGGUGAACCAAUUUCGCAAUUUGAAUAUUCUCAAGUUAUUGUAUCUUUAUUAAACAUAUCAAAAUAAGACAAAACCUAAUAUAGCCUUUGCUAUUGAAAGAUUGAGUAAAUAUACUAACAAUCCAAAUAAAGAACAUUGUAAUGCUCCAGAGAGAGUGUUUAAAUAUCUCCUUGGUACAUUAUAUUAUUCUAUAAGCUAUAGAAGCUUUCCAAAUAUUAUUAAAGGGUAUAGCGAUGCGAACUGGAAAACUGAUAAUGUAGAUAUCAAGUCUACUACUGAAUAUGUGUUUAUGUUAGGUGGUGCAGCUAUAUCUUGGGGUUCAAAAAGAUAAACAAUUAUCUCUAGAAGUACUUUAGAGUCAGAGUCAACAGCAUUGGUAUCAUUAGAUAUGCCAUUAAUAAGUAAGCCAAUUUCAGUUAUUUCAAUACAUUGUUACUAUAAAAGCAGUAAUAAAGCUUAUGAAUCAGUCUCACUUAAAUCAGAAGAUAAAUAGGCAUAUUCGAGCAAUAAUUAAAUCAAUUAAGUCCUUACUUAAGAGAAUGUGAUUUGUCUCAAUUUCGUGAGAUCUAAAAAGAAUUUAGCAGACAACUUAAUCAAAGUUUUACUUAAGAAAGAUGUUAAUGAAUCAUUGAGAAUGAUGGACUUAAACCCAUAAGGGAGUUACCUCCGAGAGUAACCUAACCUUUGUGAAUGAAGAUUUUAUGAAGAAGGUUCAAUAUGGUAGGAACAAUCCACACAACAUGACUCAUAAUAGAAUUAUAUUAUUUGUGCUCAUCUCCUACGAUUAUACUACUCUGAUUGUGAUGUUUGGAAAUGUUUAAUCCUAAAUAAGUAUUGAUGCGAGAAUUCUCGCGAGGUACGGUUCACACGCACACUUGGAGGACUUACCUAUGUAAGAAUUGUCAUGAGAUCGUGACGAUAAGAUUGGACUAUUUCUUAGAAACUCUUAUUAAAAUUAAGAUAAGAGCGCAUGACCAUUAACAACACCCCGCUAUGAACUAAGUCCAAAUCAACACUGUGCAUGGAACAAUUGAAAUUUGACCAAAAGGACCUAAUUUAAGGCUUAAUCCACUAUGGCUCCUUCAAACGGAAAAUGUCAUCACCAAUUGAGGUUCAAGUCCAAAUGACACAUACACUUAUUAUACAAUAUAAUAUUGACAACAUGUACACACACACAUAUUGAAAGUUUAAAAACUCGUGGAGCAUUGUCUAAAAUAAGAUUAAAAACUUUCAAAUUGAAAAUUAAAAUUUUAUUUUUCUUAUAACUUAAUCUUCAAUUUUUUAUUUUAAUUUUCAAAUUCAAUACAGAAAAAUUUAGUCUCAUUAUUAUAUUUGUAACAUAUAUUUAAUUUGAUUAAUUUUCAUUAGGCGGGUGUUGAGUUUUUCCAUUAUAAAAGGAAGUGCAAUUUCGAUUGUUUGAAACAAAUAAAAAAAAAUCACUUGAAAGGAAUUCUAAUCAUUUCAUAUUAUCUUCUUUUAUAAUUUUGACAAUUGAUAAAUGCUUGUUAUUUCUCUCUCUGUAGUCGUGCCCAUAGAAUAAGAUUCGACUGUGAGCUAUAAUGAUUUUAUUUUGGAAGCGUGCAGUGUCGAAAGUACCUACACGAAAUAAAGGUCACACGACUUUAAGACAGUGUUUAUCGUGACUCUCUUAGACUAGUUUUUUUAAUUCUAUUCUCACAUUUAUGUUAUUUGAUUCGUGGUUAUAGUUGGUAUUUUAUUACACAUAUAACAUAAAUUUCACAAUAUUGAGAACAACGUGGUUAAAAUGAUAUUGAGGGAAAUGAGUUUAAAAUAGUAUGUACAAAAUAUGGACAAUGAAAAAAAUCAAAGAAAAUGAGAAGAGUGCUUUCAUGCCGAUAUCCUUACAAUUGUUUUAUUGUUGUCUCAAAAUAUGAAGUUUUAGAACAUAAUAUGAGUUGACAAUGGAAAAGUUAUUAGAGCAUAUACAAUGUAUUCCAUGGAUUGUCACCUAGGCGGCAUAUAAAUAGAAAAAGUUUUGAUCUUCGUGGUACUAAUAUUCAAUGAAUAGACAGUUAAGUUCUAAUCUUACCUCCAAUGAAUUUUGUCUAUAAUUUCAUUUUUAUCUCUAAUGUAUAUUUAAUAGGAGAAAAAAAUAAGAAAUAUGAGAGAGAAAAUAACAAAUAAGAAAGAGAAUGAAAGAAAAAUGUUAACUUUUAAGAAGAGCAUCUACAUUUAGAUGGAUCUCUUGGCAAUGUUUACUUGUUAUUUCAAUUAGAGACAAUCCCAAACAGAUUGCAUAGGAGAUGAACUUUUUGUAUAUAUUUUCUAUUUGAUUUUUUUUUUUAAAUUGUAGUUGGGGUCCCAACCUUUCAUUUCAUUUCAGUUGGAGACAAAUGAAGAAUUUCACCCAUUUGACUGUUGGUUAGGANNNNNNNNNNNNNNNNNNNNNNNNNNNNNNNNNNNNNNNNNNNNNNNNNNNNNNNNNNNNNNNNNNNNNNNNNNNNNNNNNNNNNNNNNNNNNNNNNNNNNNNNNNNNNNNNNNNNNNNNNNNNNNNNNNNNNNNNNNNNNNNNNNNNNNNNNNNNNNNNNNNNNNNNNNNNNNNNNNNNNNNNNNNNNNNNNNNNNNNNNNNNNNNNNNNNNNNNNNNNNNNNNNNNNNNNNNNNNNNNNNNNNNNNNNNNNNNNNNNNNNNNNNNNNNNNNNNNNNNNNCACCCACCCACGCCACCAUAACCAACCAAAUCCACCUACGGUCACCUACCAGCUAUCAUUGCCGCCAUCACCACUGCCACCGAUUACCAUGGCCAUCUGCACUGGAAGGCCUCGAAGACUUCAUCUCACCACCCCAUUUGACAAAAGGCCCAUUCGAGUUGGAGGACGAGAUUGUAAGAGCUUACAGGGAAUUAUACGACAUUGCAUACAAUGGAGAGGCAUUUUGUGUAUGCAGUAGACCCUAAGGUGAAGAAAACAAUUGUGUCUAGGUCUAAAAAAAAGGUUGAACCCCAACCUUAAAGGUUUCUCACUGUCCUGUCCUUGGAGUAUCAUGAGAGAGGUUAAUCGCGGGAUGUAUCUCAACAGGCUAGGGAACAAAAGCUGUCUGUACACUAGUGUCUACAAAAAGUCCCAAUCCAUGGUGUCUAGGUCUAAAUUGUAGAAUGAAAAAUUGAGAUGGAUUUGAGGACAGAGUUGUGCAAUUGUCCCUACACGAUGUAUUGUUCUCUUUAUUUAGUACGUGACUUGAGAGUUUUGAGAGAAAAAUUUGUAAGCCUAAUAUCCUAUUUAUUUAUUCAACAUUUUCUCAUAUUUUAUGGAAUUUGAAUCUCUUAUUCCAUAUCAUAACAAAACUUAAAAACGAAUUCGAAGAAACCAAUUACUUGCAUUAAGUAAUAAUAAAUGUGAAAAACAAUUUUUUUGAGAAAAUAGGCCAUACUAAAUAAAAUUUUACUACUACUACAAUCAUACUAAUAAUAAAAUCUAUCUUCAAAAGAAUGUUUUAAAAAUAUUUCGAAGUAAAUUAUAUCUCUAAAACACUUUUUAAUAUAGAAUAACGAGUCAAGUUUAAUUAUUAUAAAUUGAUUAUAUAAAUAUUUUCUAAAAAUCUAGUUGAUUUGAUUACUUAUACGAUGAUUGAGAAAAAAAUUAAUACUCUCGAAAUAUGAAUAUUCAAUACGUUCUAUCACUGUUUAAUUGACAUGUGUACUAUAAAAUUGGAUCCCACUAUUUAAAUGGAUCUCGUGCAUGCACGUAUUAGUUAAAAUAGUGACAUGAAAUAUUGAAUUCCAUAUCUCAAAAGUGUUCAACGAAUUAGUUGAGAAAUUAAGUCCAGUUUCAUAAGUAUUAAAAUGAGUUUUGGAAUAGUGAUUUUUGGAGAAUAUAUGAUUGAAAAAUAGAAAAAGUUUUUGAAUUUAUAUGUAAAAUAUUUUAGGGCGAUGCUGCUUGCACAGGGGCCUGUGCACACAUGGGGGUGGACCCCACACAUGUCUGUGCAAGCAGAAAUAUUGAAUAUUUUAUUGUGAAAUUUGUGAUUGAAAAUAAAUUUUUUUUUAGAGAUAGAGAGAGAAUUUUAUUUUAACUAUCGUCAAACAAUGAGUAAUAUAGCCCAUUGGAGAUUGGAAAGUUGAACCACUAUAAUUUGAAAUUGAGCCAACUAAAGUAUGCUGCACCACUUGAAAAUCCAGAGCGGCAAGGGCACAAAAAGGGUAGAAGCCAGUCAGUCAAUCCAAAUUGCAUAGAGAGAACCACACGAGGGGUAGCGGAUUUAUCGAUUCCCAAGAUACAUUUUUUGUAUUGUCAAAUCAUCGAGAUCCAUUCAUAAGUUAUAUAGUCCGCUCCGCCUCAUUGGUGGUGCAGCCACCCUUUUUUCUCCAAUUUGAAUCAAGUUUUUUUUUUUUUUUUUUAAAACCCUUUUUUGUCUUAAUCACUAAUCUGAACUGACUUGUGUUGAUUCAUUCAUUAAUCUUUCUUGUUUUCUAAUUGGGACGUCAAAAAUCUAUUUUUCUUGAUUUUAUUAUUAUUAUUAGAAUUUAGGGUUUGUUGUUGUUGGGGUUUGAAUUUUUAGGGGAGGCUUAGAAUUGAAAGAAGAGAGGUUAAGAGAUGGCGGCACCUGGGCAGGGGAUGGAGCCUGCCGUUCUGGAUGAUAUCAUCAACCGGUUAUUGGAGUUCCGGAGUACGAGGACCGUGCGGCAGGUGCAGCUGUCGGAGAAUGAGAUCCGCGCUCUCUGCACCGCCUCACGUGAAAUCUUCCUUUCACAGCCUAAUCUGCUCGAGCUUGAAGCUCCAAUAAAGAUCUGCGGUAUUUUCUCUCUCUGUAUAUAUAUCUUCAUUUUGUGAAUGAAUGCGUAGGUAGAUGUUUUUGCAUGUCUUCCAUGUAUAUGAUUAUACACAUGCCUUUGACUUGUGAGUAGAAAGUUCAGAAGGCGAUGGCAUUUUGCCCCAAUGACAUGCCAUGAUUACUCAAAUGUGAAAUUACGUUCAUAUGUUUUGUUUUACCUUUUUGUAUUGCAAUGGAAGAAAUUUGGAAUUUUCUGAAUGGAAAUAUGCACGCAUGUUUUUAAUCGGAUUGAGGGAAGGAUCAAGAGGUGGAUUUUACGAUAGUCUAAAAUUUGGGUGAUGAAAAUUAAGCACAUUAACAUUCAUUUUGAGAGAGAGGGAGGGGAUUAUCUAACAAGAAAGCAAGUUGAGGGAGCAUGGCUAAAGUUAGGAAUUGGCCCACUGAAGCUAUUACUGUUCAACCUCAUGCUCAUUGCAUGACAAACAUCAAUAGUAGACCGGACAAACAAGUGCAAAGAAAGCGAUGGCACAUAAUAAAUGGGAUACAUGAAAAAAGAAAACAAAACAUGAUUUGAAUUUAGCUGUGUGGACCCAUGGAGAAUUAAGGAGCACACGUCUCAUAAGCCUUGAGGCAUGCAUCUCCAAAUACUGACUCUCAAUCGGUGCCUUGAUGCAUCUUUUGUUCGUCACACUGAGGCUGGCCUCAAUAUGAAUGACUACAUCAUUAAACAAUUGUACCAAGUAAAUUACAAUAAAUCUUGAAUGUUAUGUUCUGAGAUUUAGAUACUUGGGUAGAAGACUAGAGGUCCUCAAGUCGAGAAGAGAAUGACCGUCGAUUUGAGAAGCAGCAUUACAGCAGCAUAGGAGAUAGAUUUUGUGGAAAAAGGAUUUGAAUUCGUUCUUCAGCUGAUUAUUCGUUUUAAAAUCUGGAUCAUAAAAAGAAUUUGGCCACGGAGUCCAUAUGAGGAUAUUUCCCUAGUCGACUUAUGGCAUGAAGUCUACUUUGGUAGGACGUUGAUGGUAUUCUUGUGCUGUGGGUUUGCUCUGGAUUUUGAAUAUAUUUUCUGCACUCCAUGCCUUUCAAGUUAUUUAUAGGGAAAAUUUUACUUGCACAUAAUUAUUGCACAUAAUGGUGUCUAUAAUGUGAUGUGGCAAUCAUCCGGUUGUUGAUGUGCAAAUAUGAGAUUUGAAUUAAAGGUUGGAUCUAGUGCCACGUGUAAUUAUGGAUACCAUUAUGUAGAUAAUUAUGUACAUGUAACACUUCCCUAUUUAUAGUGUUGACAACUGUACUUUAUACUUAGCCCUUAUUUGUCAACCAUUCUCCCACAUUCUCCCACAUUAUUUUUUCUAUAGUACUCAUUUUCAACUACACAUUCUCCAUUAAAAUAAUAUUACACAUAUAUCAAAAACUGUUCGUUCUUUUUUAACCAUACAUUUCAACAUCAAUCACUAUUUCAUACUCCAAUUUUUGAAAUUAAAGGGCCAUGAACAUGGCCUUAUCAUCUUAUUUGUAUUUUAUCAUAGUUUAUUUUUGAAAUUCGUUAAAAGUAUGAUGUAAUAUUUUUGUUCUAGCUCAUAUGUAUCAAUAUUAUUUAUUGCCGAUAUCACAUUAAAUGAAUGCUUGGCUGUCAUAUAUAGGAAAUUAUACAUUAGCAAAUUAUGAUUCAUGAAUAAAAAAUGCACUCUAAGAUUCAGUACUUAUCUUAGGACAUGUGAUAAUUAACACUUAAAUGGACCAAAUCUAUUGAACAAUGACUUACAUGAAGCAAAAAGUACAUCCUUUCUACAUUUAACAUGUGGCCUAAACACUAAGAUGUUUGCCAUCAUGGAUAAAGAAUGUUAGCUUGCAUAUGCAUUAAAGCUUAAAAAUAACUUCAAGUCUCUAGGAGUUAGUGGCUAGAAUAAAAGAUAUAAAUGUUCUAACAAAUAUGAAACAGACACAAGCCAAGUUAGUUAAUAUGAAAAUAUAAGUGAAAAUACAAAUACUAUGGUUUCUAAAUGCUGAGAAAAUGAGGUAAUAUAUUCAAAAUCUUAAAUAUCAACCACUACCAUUAUAUUUGGUUGUGGGUUGUGUGAGAGAGGGGACUUUUUGUCAGAUAAAUAGUUUGGAAAAGAGAAGUGUAAGACCCCAAGGCAAAUUCUUUAAAAAAAAAAAUUACAAAAAAUCAUUGAGAUGUGCAAAGCACAUUGGGGCACCAAGGUUUCUCAGGGCCUAACUGCAAACUCAAAGCAAGGUGUGCAUCAACCAUGCAAAGAGUUGUAAUAAUAUAAAUGAACUAUCUCCAGCCAUGCAUAUUACAGGAAAAACCAAAAAGUGCUUCUUAAAUGGAUAAGGAAUCAAAAGCCCUAAAAGAUAGUGAUAUGCUCUUCAGCACUAAAAGUGCACAGGAUGCAACUUGCGGUGAAUGCAAAAUGUGCAUAGGUGUGCUUACAAUUAACAACUAUAUGAUCAUGCACGAAGGUUUUUACAGUAUCAAUACUAUUAUAGUUUUAUAAAUAAUAACAAUGCAUAUUAUAGUCCUCUUGAUUUGACUUGAACUGUCGUAAAAAGCGUAAAUAUUAGAUUUUUUAAUGUGCUUUAGCAUUUUAGAUUUUUAGUUAUUGUUUUUCUUUUUGAGCUUGCACUCUCUUGAGACCUACAUUUUGAGUUUACAGUUUUGACUCCUCUUGUUAUUCCAUAUGGUAAUUUUCCUUGAAAGAACUUUGAUCUCAGGGUAUCCAAGUGGUCUUAAUCUUGCACACUUUACAUUCAAGAAUUACGAAAUAAUUGACCCAUGUAACACUAGUUAAAAUCAUAAGAAAUGUUCAAAUUUUGAUUUGGGAUUGUGGUCCCAAUGGUUGGUAAUGAAUAAAGGUGGGUGCAUUGAUGGUCAAACAUGAACUCUAAUGGUAAGAUGUAUGCUUCAUGAAAAGAUUACAAAUAAAUACCUAGAGGUGUAAAACUGCCUACUUUUAGGAGGCCCGGUAUGGCCACAGGAUCUACGAGCCUACACCCCUGGCAGUGUCUGGCCUUGAUGUUAUUCUAUAUUAUGAAAAAAAAGGAAAAAGAUUAAGCCCUUGUUUUAUUUUAAUUUUUCCAAAAUUACUUUUUCUUCAAACUCAUUUUCAACCACACAUUCUUCCAAUAAAAUAAUUUUGCAUGUGGACCCAUAAUGUUCCCUACUUUAAACCGCACAUUCUCCAAAAAUAACUUUUCACAAAAUGACUUCUCAAAAAAAUCAAAAUAAAAAAUCGGUGAAAGUUAAAAAAAAAUAAAAAAAGGUUCCCCUUGUAAUGGAAAAACAAUAUUUCUUUCCCCUUGUUAAUAUUUCAAAAUUGUAUUCGAAAGAAAAUGCAAUCCCCAAGUGCCUAAUGAAGUAUACGAGUAAAAACGAAAAUUUUGGUUAUAUAUUUUAUUAAAGAAACUCUUGCUUCUGAAACGUCAACGGUGUUGCAGGUUCUUUUCCUUCCAUUCGUUUCCUGAUUGGCUGAAUGUCACGUGUUGCAUUUUGAGACCUAAGCUGGAUUUGUAUUAUUCAUUUUAUUUGUUUCACAAUUCACAUCCCUAGUCUCUUUACUAUCCUUCACGUGAAUAAACAUCCUACUCAAAAUGUGCAAGCUAUUUAAUUAAUGAAGUUCUAUAUGUUGUCUGAUGAGUCAGAUUGUAAUAUCAUUUUUUUGUUAGUUUUAAGUUUAUGUGAACAUGGAUAAGCAUCGUUAAUUUUCUAGAGUUAAAAAACUGGUAUUUUCCGUUAGCUUCAGAGCUCCACAUUGAAUAUUGUUUUGUUUCUCUAGGUGGAAGAAUUUUACAAUUCUGCUUGUGAGAUAAUCAAUAUGGUCUGGAAAUGCAUUUUUGAUUUGCAGUCUGAACUUUCUCGCCCUCUUUCUAUUUUUUCUCUGACAGAAGUCUGACUGUGCAUUUUGGUUCGUCUUAAUUCCAGGUGACAUUCACGGGCAGUAUGGAGAUCUUUUAAGACUUUUCGAAUAUGGGGGAUUCCCUCCCGAGGCCAAUUAUUUGUUCUUAGGAGACUAUGUGGACCGUGGCAAAUAUAGUUUAGAAACAAUAUGCCUUCUUCUUGCCUACAAAAUCAAAUAUCCAGAAAAUUUCUUUCUUUUAAGAGGAAAUCAUGAAUGUGCUUCUAUUAAUAGGAUAUAUGGAUUCUAUGAUGAAUGUAAACGCCGCUUCAACGUGAGGCUCUGGAAAGUCUUUACUGAUUGUUUUAACUGCCUUCCAGUAGCUGCUGUUAUAGACGAUAAAAUACUGUGCAUGCAUGGUGGUCUUUCUCCUGAUCUACAUGACUUGGAUCAGAUCAGGAAUUUGCCACGUCCAACUGAUGUUCCCGACUCUGGUUUGCUUUGUGAUUUACUUUGGUCAGAUCCUAGUAGAGAAGUUAAAGGUUGGGGGAUGAACGAUAGGGGGGUCUCAUACACUUUUGGUCCUGAUAAGGUAGCUGAGUUUUUAAUGCAGCAUGAUAUGGACCUUGUAUGUCGUGCUCAUCAGGUAUUGAUAUUUUCUCAUGAUUUCUUUGAUCCUUGUUUCAGUGUUUUGGUUUCUGCUGUUGAUGGGAUUUUUCUGUGCAGGUCGUGGAAGAUGGAUAUGAAUUUUUUGCUGACAGACAGCUAGUUACAAUAUUUUCUGCUCCCAACUAUUGUGGUGAAUUUGAUAAUGCUGGUGCAAUGAUGAGUGUUGAUGAAAGUUUGAUGUGUUCAUUUCAGAUCCUGAAACCAAACGAUGGAAGGCGGUUUUUGUGAAGUAAAAUUUGAUUACGGUGGUUUUAGUUAUACGAGAAUGUUCAAGGUCUGUGUAACCUUGUCUUUGAAGCAUCCAACAGUUUCUAGUUUAUAACGCGACAUACCUAAUUUUGAUGGUUAUUGUACUGUGUAUGUGGCUGGAUUAUAUUUAUCUUCUGGAAAUUGUCCGAGUUCUUUGACAACUUUUAGGGUGGUGGACUGAGUAGUAAUUGAUGAAGAGGAUUCACAAUUUACAGAGCUUUUUCUGAGAAAACACACACUUCCUAAUCUUAAUCAGUCGUCUAGUAUUUUAAAAAAAAAACUACCAUGAAGUUCAAAAUAAUGGCUUUUUAUUCACUGAACCAUUUUAUGGCAUACAUCCAUGUUGAUUCAGAUUAUUUCGCCCCUAUUGAAUUGUAAGUUUAACUUUCAUAGAAUGGUGUGGUGAAAUAAUCUUUCUUUCCUGCUUGAAUCAAUAAGUUUUGGAGGAUGUCUUCUUUGAUUUUAUUUAGAAAGAAGGUUGAUAGUGACACAUUUUGCAUAUCUGCCUAUAUCCUUGAUGAUAUCGCUUGUAAUUUAGGUUUCCAAAGUCCGAAUGAAAAUCCUUUGUGGUCCCAUUUUUAAUUGAUGUUUGUCAUACAUUUUACAUAUAUUUGGCUGUUUGAAUUUAAAGCUUUAACUUGUUUGGCCGUAGGUUGCGCUUGAUAAACUUGAACACUCAUCAGAUCUCGCUGGUCAUUAAUUCUUCUAUUUUUCCCUUUUUGCGUUACAAGGUGUGCUAAAUUUUUUCUGAAGAAAAUAUUUCUGAUUCUUUUUUUCAGCUUAGACAUGAUACUAUUAUACUCUAGUGGCAUCGAUUUCCAAGUGACCUGAAAUUGUUUAAUGUAGCAUCAUUAAAAUUUAAUGGUACUUCCAAAUUUUAACGAUGCUGAACAUAGUCAAGUUGGUUGUGCUUCUAUAUAUAUGUGAAAAUUUUCUUUAGAUUUAUGACACUUGCAUAAUGAAUCACUCAAAAUGCUUUCCUUUCGGUGAUACUUCCAUAUUUAUUCUUCUCUUGAUAUGUAUGAGUUUUGGCAAACAUAAUGUUGCCUUUCUUAUUUUUUGCAAUAGGAAACGUAGGGUUUGAAUUUUCCUUGUAUUAAUUGUCACCAAAAUUUACCUUAUGGGUAUUAUUGACAUAUCCACUUGUACAUUAUUGGAUCGAUACCAUCUGAUUAUGAUUAUUAUGUUAUCAAAGCAUCAUAUUGUACAAGAGAAAUAAUAAGUUGAUGAAUGUAUGUAGAUUUUGUGUGGUCCUCGAUGGAUCUCUAGUAACUUUCAGUGAAGUUAGGAAGAUCUAAUAUGUUUUGAUCUGAAUGGUUACAUAGCCUUCCCCUAGAAUAAAGAUCGAUUUCUUGCAUGCUUUUGAUUAAUUUUACAUUUCUUGCUUCAAGUUCUGAAUUGAGAUUUGCUUUUUCAUUCUUUCCCAAUCUUAGCCCCCAUCAGGUUGGGGGUAUAAUGUUUGGCAUAGCUUUAAAGUAGCUUUUCUCGAGGGUAAAAGUCUCUUAAGCUUAGUUAGAGAUUUGAUCUGAAGGACAUCUGAAUAAGGUCGGGUCCCCGUCCCCUAACCAUUGAAAAAAACCCUUAAAAGUGCUUUUCAUUGUGUGGUGUUACAUUUCAGAUUUUGAUAUCUUUUGGCAGGUGUUGUGUCAUUUGGUGUGCCUGAGAAGAUUAUGGUUUCUAAAGUUGGAGCAUACAUUUUGUAUAUCAGUAUUAUGUCCUCAGGUAGCCUCCUAAACUGGCAACUAUUUUCAGCUCAGGUGGCCUGAAGUGCCAUGUUAUUUUUCUUUUUCGAAUUUUUAGCAUGCAAUUUAUUAUUCGACUGUGAAAAUACACUGGUUUAUGUAGAUGCAAUUGUAGAUUGUUGACAGCCUCAAGUUGCGUUUUGCUUUUCAUUAAUCCUUGCAUCAUUAUAUACCUGUUUGUAACAGUUUCUAGGUUAUGGCCUCUAUCAAGAUUAUCAGAUACUAAAGCGACUCGAUUGUAGAACACAAUAAACUUUAGUUUGCUUUAGUGCUUGUUUGGUAUUGUUUUUAUGUGCUAAAUCAUUUGUCCGACAAAUGUGUGGGUAAUGAGUGGGUGUUCAAUAAUUUCAUUAUAAGGACAAUAAAUGUGAUUUGUUCAAGUGUUGCUCAAUAUUGUUCAUGUAGAUGACAAUAAAAGUACAUUACAUCAUUGUCUACUCACCAUUGCACUAAUGCGAUAUUAGAUGAGAUGUAUAAUUAAAUAAAUAAUGUUGUUUAGUAUCAUUGGUGUUAUACGAUGAUACUAAAUGAUAUGUUCAAUAAAAGUUGAAUUAAAUGAUUAAUUUAAUUGUACAUUUUAUUUAGGGGGUGUAUUUAAUGGGGACUGUUGAAGAUUUUGAUAGACAUUUUUUAAACGGUGAUUUCUAUGGAUUUCAAGAAUUUUUUGUAAAUUUGUAUGGAAUUAGUGUUUAUAGAUUUCUAUAGACUUUCAUUUUCAAAACUUUUGUAGAAUUCAAAAAAGUUUUGAAGGCUUUCAUUUUUAAGUUGAAUUCAUGUGGAUCUAGUAUAAUAAUAUGAAAUUCUUAUAUACGAGGUGAUGAUUCCCAGAAUUUCCUUUUUCCUCCCUAUAUAAUAAAAAGUUAUUUUAAAAAGAAUUUUUUUAAGAUUUUAAAUAAAUAAAUAAUGAAUAGAAAAUCAAUAUAUUUAAAUUUAGUUAUAAAUUGCAAUAUGAAAUUUUAUAAUUUAAUAAAAAAUAAAUAAUUCACCAAAAAAAAAAAAGAUGAAUGAGAAAAAAAUGUUAUAAGAAUUCAAUUUUUUUUUUUCAUACAAAAUAGAGACAAAAAAAAUAUGUGAGAGAGAGAGAGAGAUAAAUAUAAUCCAUAGAAAAAAUAAAUUUUAAUCAUAAUUCUAAUAUUCGUAGAAAGAAAAAGAAAAGAGAAAUAUUGAAAAAUAAAUACAAUUUUUGUGAGAGUUUUUCAAAAUCUUAUGAUUAAUGAGAGACAAAUUUUGAGAUUUUAUAGGAGUACUUUUUGUUUAAAAGUUAGUAACCCAAAAACUUUUAUAAAAGUUUCUAAAAAUCAUUAAAAUUAGAAUACCCUAACAUUUAUAGAGAUUUCUAAAAAGUUUUAAUUGAAUACACAUUAACUUUUAGAGACUUUUUAAAACUCUUAAUUGAAUACAUCAAUAUUUUUAGAGAGUCUCAAAAAGUUUACAUUGAAUACCCCUAAACUUUUUAAAUUUCAAAAAGUCAUUAAAAUUUUUAAUUGAAAUACUCCUCUUAAUUUCACAUUAGAAUCAUUUAAUAGAUAUUUUAAUAAAAUUGGUGUUAAAUAAUAUUACUUUAAUUAAAUGAAUUACUUAAUUCUAUAUUUCAUUGAGUUUUUGCCCUUGUAUGGUAUAAAUUAAAACUCAGAUUUUAAUUUAAAUUAAAGUCAACAAUUAAUUUUAAUCACACGUUUUAUGGGAUUCACGACUUUUUAAUUACAUAUUUAAUCAUUUUUUUUUUAUCAAAAUUUACUAAAAUUCUGAUUUUAAUCUCUACCAAAAGGGACUAUAGUUUAGCGCCAUCCACAUAUCAUUAUUCCAUUUUUAACACUUUUGUUUUGACAAUUUAUGUUUGAUAAAGGGUAUUUUGAUCUGGGAAAAGUUAUUUUUACCACCUUUUAUCCUUUCUUUUCCCUUGUUUGUUGCUUUGAACAAGAAGAUAAACUUGUUUGAUUUACGUGUGGAACAAAAGAUUUGAAUCAAUGUAUACCUAAAGAUAGCUAUUCAUCUAAGAAUAUCUCUUAAGAGAUUUAUAAAUAUAAGUUGUUCUCCAAUUUAGCUAUGUUUAAAAUAGAGAGUGAGAUUGACUUUUCAGACAAUCGAACUCACUCUCUAUAUAUAGAUAUAUAUGUAUGUUAAAUAAAAAAUGAGAAAAUUCUCAAUUUUAUAUUUAAAUGCUCUCUUUUAUAUAUGAUCUGAGAUGUACUUUAUAAAUAGAAAGUAUCUAGAGACGUUUUAACUAGUAACUUCUCUUAACUGAAAAUAACUUAAGUAAAAUAGCCUACCAUGGACGAGCAAUGGGUACCAAAAAGAUGGAAUACAAUAAAAACAAUCUUUUUGUUUUAAUUUUAUAAAAUUCUUUUAAGACAUUUGAAUAAGUGAUAAAUUUUGUUCCAUUUCUAUCUUUUAUAAUCUUAUCCAAUUGAGUACGAUAUAAGGUUGAUAAAAUGUCCAAUUAUUCCACCUAUACAUAACAUGUAUGGACGGAUCAAUUGAACCAUAAUAAUCGAGAGAGAAUUUAUCUUUUCUCAAAAUUCUAAAAUUUCAAAUUGAUUAUGAAUACAUCUCUAAAUCAGUCCGUUCUCAAUCAAAACCAGUCACAUUCACAUUUUUAAAUUUGUUGAAGUAUUCAAUGCUGUCUUGCCCCAGUCCAAGGAGGGGCAUUGGCCAACAAGCAUUGUGUUUGAGAGGGAAAGUGUGGUUGACAAACCACUUCGAGGAGGACAUCGGAUUGAUAGAUUUUAUAAGCAGAGACAUUCCGAAGAAAUAAUUGAUUUAACUAUUGACAGGAGGACCACGAGCACUUCUUCGACGCUAGACGGCACUGUUGACGGCUUAUUGACUUUCAAUAGGAACUCCUCGAUAGGGAUCUUAUAACAAAGAAUUUUGGAAGUUUGAACCAUUGAAUGAGAAGUCAAGUAUGAUGUAGAAUCUGCAUUGAAAUGAUAAUGCUGGUCUAUCUAGUAAUAAAAUCAAUGGCAACCUCAAGCUCACUUCAUAGCCUUCUUGCUCAAGAAGAAUCAGUCUUUCUUUUUUAUUUUCUCAUUCUAAAUCUUGAAAGCUAAUGAUGCGUUUGGUUUGCUAUUUUCAAGUUGUAUUCAGUUUUUCAAUUUUGUGAAACAUUGAAAAUGUGUUUGGUGUGAUUUUCUGAAAACAUAUUUUUGAAAACAAGGUUAAAUUUAUAACAUAAAACUCAAACCCAUUUUUUUUGGUCUGAGUGUUUUCGGUGAAAAUUUUGAAAACACUAAAAACAUUUAAAACAAACGUUUAAAUAACAUUUUUAAAAAAUAAUUCUAACAAAAUAAUUAAAUAAUUUAAAAAGAUAAAAAAUUUAAAACUUAAUAUCUAAAGUUCUAAAAAUCUAAAGUUCUUUUAAAAAAAAAUCUAUAAUAAAAUAAAAAUUCUGAAAAAAAUAAUUUUUUUAAAACUUUAUAAAAAAUAAAAAUAGUUCUAGCUCGUAAUGAUUAUUUACAUAAAAAAAUUUUAAAUAUAUUUAAAUGAGAACAUGUAAAAAUAUUCUCAAUCCGCGUCAUAAAUUUUUAUUCCAUGAAAAAUAAAAAUUCUCCAAAAAUAAAACUAUAAAAAAUUUUAGAAAAUUUUAAACUAUAAAAAAAUAAAAAUAGUUCAAGCUCGUAAUAAUUAUUUACAUAAAAAAAAUUAAAUGAAUACUGGAAAAAAUAUUCUUAGUCCACGUCAUUGAUUUUUAUUUUUAUUUUCUAUAUUUUGAACUCAAUUUUUAUUUUAUUUUAUUUUAUUUUGCAGGGAGAAAAAAAUUGUUAUAUUCACCAACCAUUAGUUGAUAAUAUAUUAACAAACGUGUUUUUAAAGUUUUUGUUUUGAGAAAUAAAUUUUAAAAUGACAAACCAAAUGCAUUUUUAACAAUUUUAAAAAAAGACAUUCAAAACAAAAAUUGAAAAUGAACUCAAAACCGAAAACUAAACUAUAAAUUAUACAGGUCCUAAACUACCAACUUUGCCUUGAGAAACCUAUUAGGCUUGACAAUCCUAACUUGUCUAAUAUAUAUCAUUUGUACUUGUUAGUGAAGCAGCAUCCUUUUUCAAAUUUGAUGCUUUAUUUUUAGUUCGGAGAAUUUACUUCUUCAAUUAUUCAGAAAAUGUGUUGCCUGUCUUAUGCAUCGACUCCCCAGCGAGAUAUGUCAAAAAUUGCAUCAUAUCAUUUGAUCUUCGACCUUUUCAUUUAUAAAUUUUUACCUUUUUCGGAUAGAAAAUAUUUUAGAGUAAUGCUAUUCGUAGUCGCUCGCCCUACGUGACAUACAUAUAACAGGUGGGUAUUUGAUACGUUAAUGAAUAAAAAAAUUACCAUAUUAAUGUAUCAAAUAAUCGUUCUACGUGACAUACACAUGACAGGUGGGUAAAACAAUAUGCAUCUUGAGGACGUUAAUUGUUAUUAAAUAAAAAGUAUAAUUAAAUGGAUUUCAUAAUUUCAUAUUUUAUUGCGUCUAUCGUCUAUGCUAGCAGUGGACAGCAUUAUUUGCAGAGAUAAGUAUAAGAGGGCAGGCCACGGCUGAGAUUCCGUGACAGUCUGUCUGUAUUUUCAGAAAUUCAUUCUCCAACGCGCGCCCUCUCUCUCUCUCUCUCUCUCUCUCUCUCUCCCUUCUCGAAUUUUCUCCAUAGACUCUCUCUCUCUAGUUUGUACUCUCUGUAGCCACAUUUACGCUCUAUUGAUUCUUUGUUAUCCAUUCUAGGAAGAUCAAUACAACACAAGCAUUCGCGGAUUUUUUUCCAUGGCGUCGAUUAUCGAAUUUGCUUGGACGGUAAUUUUUUAUUCCGCAUUGCUGUUGUUGUCUUCUUGAUUAGAUAUCUGGAUCUACUUGUACUAUUUUUCAAUUCACGGCAUUGCAUUUUCGAUUUUAUGCAUGUUCCUUUUUUCUUUUUCUUUUUUGGUUCUGGCUUUCAAAUUUGAAUUUCAAUGUAAUGGAGAAGAAAGGAAGUAAGGUAGUGAAAAAUGUAUAUGAUUGUAUUCAUGUCACUGAAUACAAGCUAUAAAGAUUUUUCCUAAUUUAAUAGCUGAGUUUCAAAUUUAAAUAUCGAUUUUAUUUAUUUAUUUAUAUUUUUUGAGAAGAAAGUAAGGCUGUGAAAAAUAUUUAUAAUCUUAUUGAAGUCAUUUAAUCAAAGUUAUGGAGAUUAUUCCUAAUUUAUGAUUCUUUAGAUGAAUAGAUGUCAAUUAAUUCAGUUUGCAUUGCUGUUGAUAUGUAGUUUUUAUUAUUUUUUAUUAUUUAGAUCAAGAAGUAGUUAGGGAACUGAUGGGUUAGAAGUUUAGGCCACGGUAGAGAUGGCAAAAAAAUUUGUUCCACCCAAUACCUAGCCCUGAAUGAGGCAAGGAUUACCUGCCUAAUCGAGUAAACGGGAUCGGGGUAGGGUCAUUGCCCCGAAGCGGGUACGGGAAACCUACCUGCCCGUUUAAAGUUAAUUUCAAAUUUAAGUUUUUCAUUAAAAAAUUGAUUUAUAAAUAGAACACGAGGUGUUCUUAACAAAUUGGAAAACAGGUAAUAAUAUUCACUACUUAAAUAUAUAUAGAAAAAAAUAAAUUAGGUAGGGGACCACCCUGCCCCGCUUUAAUAGGGUAUGGAGGUGGGUAAGGUAACAAAAAUACCCGACAGGGCGAGAAUGGCCGACUUGCCCCAUUGGCAUCCUACUCCGCGGUGCUGAAACUUACUAUCAUUUUCAUAUAAUGCAAGUUUGGUAGAGUGAUUAAGAGAUUAAACAGUUUGAUUACAGGAAGGGUGGUACUACCAAACUCCAAUUAGACAAACAUCAAUUUCAUUAAAGCUAUGCCAGCUGUAUAAUUGGACCCAAUAAGCAUCUCCUGUUGCCAUGCAUCACAUAUGUAGUCUUAGAGAAUCACUGCUAUGGUCGAAUAUUACAAAAAAAUGGGGCAUUGUAAUCUCAAUCUGAGAUGUAAAGCAAUCUCAAUCUGAGAUCUAUCAACAGCCCUUAGUUAAUAGUUGGGUGAGUGCAUGUUUAACUAAGUUCAAAAAAUUUACUUAUAAAUAAGAUUAGUAAACAAUUAAGUAUUAAAAUAAUUUUUUUCUUGCUGGUUAUGUUGGAAAUUAGCUGCUUAUUUUGAAAUGAACUCCUACCUUAUGUCAUCAUAAGUAACUUUUUUUACUUAAAAAUCAGAAGUAACAUUCAAACUAGUUAUUUUAAACCUUAGAGUUACAGAUUCACGCGUAUUCAAUCAUAUUCUCUUGAAAUUUAAUAAUUUCUUAGCAUGGCUUGUGGGCAUAGUAUUUCUAUACUUGGUACAAUUUUGAACACUUUCAUUAUUCUUAUAGACAUAGACUAUAGUACUCUUCCUCUGUUAAUUUGAGAAGAUUGAUUUGAAUUAUUUCAUUGGCCACACAAAACCCAUCUCUCCCUGUACUUUCAUGCAUCGAUAAUUGAUCCAGACACCACUUUUCACAUGUUCAGCCUCGUGAUAGCCUCUUUCACAUUUGAGACUGGGCAAAUGGUUAAUAUUUCUUUUUUAAUGAGCUUGGUGAAUCCAUAAGAUCCACGCUAUUUCUUCCAUUAAGAAAUUUCUUCGAGCAAUUCAUCCACAUUUAUUUGAUAUCAUCUCUAUGAAAUAUAACUCUUUAUUUCCCUCUGUAAUGCACUUUAAAAUUUUGUUGCAGUAUCUAAUCACUCAUUUCAAUGAUUUUCAAUUGGCAUGCCUUGGAAGUUUCUUUCUUCACGAAAGUGUCUUCUUCUUGUCGGGAGUCCCAUUUAUAAUUUUUGAAAGGGUAGGAUGGCUGAGCAAGUACAAAAUUCAGGUAUCAAUCUAUUGACUUUAUUGUUGGUUGUUUAUUGGAGAUUGAUAUCUUUCUACCACUGUUAUGGUUUUUAUUCUCAAUGAAAAUGACAUAUAUAAUGUCUAAACAAUAUUGUUAUCUUUGGCUACUGGUUCUAGGAUGCAUGCCAUUAACCUGCAAAAUUGGAAAAUAAAGAAUAAUUCAGAAGUAUAAAUUGUUAUAUGUAAUUUUUAUUCUAUCCUAUAGAACAUAUCAGGUGAAUUUAAUAUACAAGUUAUCCUCCCCUAUAAUUACUCUGAUAUCAUUUUCUCUGUUGCUACAGACUAAGAAUAAUACCCCGGCAGCUCAGGGGAAAUGUGUCAAUCGACUACUGCUCUAUCAUUUCUGUGUCAAUCUACCAGUUAUGAUUUUAUCCUAUCCUGUCUUCAAAUAUAUGGGGAUGCGAAGUAGUCUUCCCUUGCCGUCCUGGUAUAUUCAGGUUCUUUAUAUACUGAAGCUUUGUUAUUGGAUCAACCCUAGUUUAUUCUCUAUAAUCUGGCUUAUCAAAUGGUGGAAUAUAUUUAUGAAUAUAAUAUGUUGCAUAACAUAAUAUGUUUUUCUCUCCUGUUAUUCAUUUUUAAAAGGUACCCUCUAUUUUUACUUUUCGUUGAUAAUCAAAAUAUCUAUCUCUCUAUCAUAUAUUCGUUAUCUUGAGUAAAUAAUACUGCACUUUUUCUGAUAAGUGAAAUUGAGUAUGAUUUACCAUAUUGCCAGCAAGUUUAAUUAUGUCAAAAUGCUCAUUAAUGAGAUCAAGCCCUUUUAUACAGUUGUGGAUGUUGAAGGGUCAAUGUGGGGAGUGAUAUUCAUUCAUAACCUGAAUUUUCUUUUAUCCCAUCCAAAGUACCUAAUGCAAUAAUCCCCAUUCCCAAAAUAAUUGAGAAGACAUUAAUCCAAGAAAAAAUCAUUUUGCCCUUUCUCUAUGUUUUCUGUUUAUGGAGAUGUCUCUAUUCAAUGUAACGGAAAUAUUUUCCGAUGUGUUAUUUUGUGAUUUGGUUGUGGAAUAUUUGCCCUGUAGGAAAGUAGUCUCAAUCCAGAUUUUGUUCUACUUCAUCUUGGAGGAUUUCAUUUUCUAUUGGGGACACAGGAUUUUACAUACAAAAUGGCUUUACAAGCAUGUCCACAGUGUCCAUCACGAGUAAGUAAUUCUCGAUUUAUUCUUUUGCUACUACUUUUUUCGCUAUUUUACUACUAAGUACUCAUAAUCUUUGUCUUUCUAUGCUUUUUAUGUAUAUGCUUAACAUCCUGACAGAUAUGCAACACCAUUUGGACUAACUUCUGAAUAUGCUCAUCCUGCUGAGAUUUUGUUCCUUGGAUUUGCCACAAUUGUUGGUCCUGCCAUUACUGGUCCCCAUCUGAUAACACUCUGGCUGUGGAUGGUUCUUAGAGUCCUUGAAACAGUCGAGGCACAUUGUGGCUACCAUUUACCAUUUAGCCUCUCGAACUUUUUGCCAUUAUAUGGAGGGUUUGUAUUCAUAUUAUCUUUUCUGUCAUCAGUAACCUGAGAGAUUACUUGGUGUUUCAAAAUUACUUAUGUACCUAAAAUUUCUUUUGUGGAUUCCCAGGGCUGAUUUCCACGACUAUCAUCACCGACUGCUGUACACAAAGAGUGGCAACUAUUCAUCAACUUUUGUUUACAUGGACUGGUGCGAUUACAUUACCUUCACCAUUGGAUAUAUUCAGCUUAGGAACGUCUGUCUAUAUUCGUCAUUCUUUCAUAUAUUAAGUUGUAUUAAAUUUAGAAACCUUGCUUCCAUUUCCAUGAAUCUCGUUGGUGAAGCUAAUACUUGAUGGGUACUAGCUUGUGAAGAGCUAUGAUCAACCUAUCCAGCUCUGCGUUGAACUUCCCGAGAUUCUCCAACCUUAUAUUAGCUUGAUGACAGAAUAAAAACUACUACAUAAUAUAAAUUAUAUAUUCGCGGCUCUAACUUCUUCCGUGUCCUUUUUAAUAGGAUAUUUGGUACUGACAAGGGUUAUAGAAGAUUGAAAUCUUUGAAAGGAAACUAAAAGAGGAGGAUUUUUCUGGUCGUGGAGCAUCGCGUUGAAAGCUCUUAAGUAUUUUCCUCAGCACCUUGUGUGCAAUUACUUUUUUGUUCUGAAUUGCUGUUAUAAUAGACAUUGUAAUGUUAGAAUCAUUCUGAAGCUUGUUUUUCGACAAAUUUUAUUACAUUCUUUGAGAUCUUGCGUUGAUUUUAAUUUUCUUGAACUAAGAUCUGUAAAAACCUAGAUAUACCGAGCAGUGUGCCGUGGAAUCCUCAUAGAAUACAGAACUAGGGAUAAACCCACAAAGCUCGGUGAACUCAAGCUUGAAGUUGUGUUGAAUUCUCAACAGAAGACUAUCUUUUCUGCGACGAUGCCAAAUGAUCCCUUCCACAGUCUGAUCAAUAAAUUGAGUAGUGAGCCCCCCGGGGCACAUUCCAACUAGUAAAGGACGGAGUUCUUUAAGACGGGCAGUUUAGAGGUCGCGGAUUUGAUUCAUGGGGCUUUCGGAAGGCAGACUCUCUUCUGGAAGGUAGAAUAUUUCCUGGAAAGCAGGAGUUCUCCUGGAAGGCAAGACGCAUACAUGAGUUUGACUCGCUCGGCACUUUGACAGUUCAAUUGGUAGGGCUCUUGGACCCUAGCUAGUUUGAGGUACAACCCGCGGUUUAUUUGGUCUGCGUGAAGAGGGGCUGGAUCAUAGGUCCCAAGAUUAGUCGCUGUAAGACGGACACCUGAGUAUCAAAAAAAUAAAAAAAAUAAAAAAUAAAUAAAUUGAGUAGUGAUAUUUCGAACACUUUCACGACCAAAUAUAUCUCGACUUUCCAUUCUAUAAACAAAUGCGAAGAAGGGCUGCUUUUAUGCAAAUAGAAAGUGGUUUUGAGGUUUGUUUAGGGUACUACAGUUAUACCAUUCCAACGUAGUUCCCAUAUAUGAUUAACGAAUGCGUGAACAAUAAUCUCCUAAGCUAUAAUGUCUUUUGGGUAAAUCAUAUUAAUAAUUUUGAAAGUUCGUCAAAAAAUCUCUCUGAUUGCACUUUUAGUGCAUUAGAAUUGACAUGAUUAAUGAAGAAUAACAUAAGCUAAACUUAGUAGGUUAUUCUUGUCCCAACUGUCUAACUUACUAAGCAUUCAACAAAUUGAAGAACCAAUGUUGAAUUUUUGCAAGAUAGCAAUUAUCAAACCUAGGUGAAAAAAGCUUACACAUUAUAUAUGUUAUAUUUGUUCAUGGCGUAGCCUUGUGUGGUUAUUUAUAUGUGUUAAAUUUAGAAUCAUGAGUUUAACUGGGAAUCAUACACUUCAAUACGAGACAAUGGGCUCAUUUGGCAUGGCUUUUGAGAUACUAAAAUUGCUUUUGAAUUCGUUUGACUACUUUUAUUAAUAUGUUUCUCCUAGUUAAAAGAGUUUUUAGAUGAAAUUGGUUUAAUGUACAUUCUUCUAAAAGCAUAUUCGGAAAAGAAAGUUUUUUUUUUUUUUUUUUUAAAUUUGUCUACCAACAAAAAUUAAGGAAGCUUCUUUCAAGGAAAAGCAAAAGUUAUACCAAACUAAUCCUGAGUAUAGAGAUUUGCAAUACUUGAUGCAAAUCAGCAACUAGUAAAUCUUAUAUGCUCUCACAAAUAGUGAUAUAACUCAAAAAAUAUAUCGCUAUUUAUUUAAUUAUUUGAUGUGAUAUUAAGGCAUCAUAACAUAAGCAUCCAUCAUGUGGAAAGUGGUUACAAAAAGAGUGAGAACUCCAUUAUGCUCGAAUCCUAUCGCACCACAAGUCACUAUAGAAGAGUCGGAUUGUUUGGGAAUUUGUUGGUGUGAAGAACUUCCCAUUUCGGCAGUCAUCUCAUGAAUCCAUCUGGAUUUUGGAAGCCAGUGAAUAUAAUCAAGGUCAGUGUAGAAAGUAACGAUUGUCGACCACUGAGGUCAAUUUUGGAAUUGGAAAAAUAGUCCCGUCUAAUAUCUAUUUGGGAGAGAAUUUUCAGGUAAAGAAGAUUAAAAAGUAUGGAAAGUUAUGUAUCCCAUAAAAUGUCAUUGAAAAUUAUUUUGGAGAAAAAAUUAUUUUAAAGAAUCUCACCCAAACAAGGUCUCGAUAUGCUGAAUUAAACAUAAUUGAACACACGAUCUACAUAUUGUCACUUUAACACGAUCUCACGGUGGCCACUUUAGCACUAAGAACAUUUAAUAUUCAUUAGACAAUGUGACAUUAAGGCUACUAUGCACAAAUUAUUGAUCGUUCAUGUGUGUAGAUGACUAUUAUUAUUCUUUGUAUUAUCUACAACCUUCUAAUUAAUAGCUGUUGUAAAUAAAUUCACUUUUUGAAAUAUUUCCUGUUCUCGUUUUCGACUAGGUAGAUAUGAUAUAGAUCCUGUUUGGGAGGGAUUUUGAGAAUUGAUUUUUUGACCGUUAGAAGAAAAGUGGGGUCCACCUAUAAGAGAAGAAGUCAAAUAUGACGAUUGAAAUAGUGAAAUAACAGUCAAAAUAUCAAUUUUUUAGGUCGAAAAUCACUCCCAAACAGGCCCUAUUUAAUUUAAAACGUUACUUUUGACUUGACUCGUCACCUUAUGUUGUCUUUAUAAGAUGUACGACAUUUAUUGUUAUUAAAAUUUUCCUUACUUUUGCAAAUAUGAUUGUUGAUGUCUUACGUUGACCGUACUCUUUUCUUAUGAUUACAUCAUAGAUUUAAGUCAAUGAUCGAGGAGACCAAACAAAAUCAAGAAAUAUGUCUCUCUUUCUAAAAUACAAAUUGUUCUAAUAUUUUUCUUCUAAAUGAUUGUUUUAUAAAUGGUCUUUGAUCUUGACUAUUUCAAGAGGAAGAAUACUAAAUUUUUCAUCAAUUUUGCUAGAAAAACAGGCUCUCUGACGGUUCUUUAAUAUCCAUAUACUUGGCAUAUUUUCAUUGACAGUUGAAAGAAAAAUUAAACAGAGAAUUGCCAAUCAAAUAUUGCCAAAUCAGAUCCUGGAAAAAGGCCCCGUCACUCAAUCUAUUUAUUUUGCUUUUUCCAUUUUUCAUUUUAUUUUGUCAAAGUAAUAUUUUUUAUUCACUCGAAAUUUGACAAAUACCCAUUUCGACCUUAAAUUUAAUCAAAGUAGCAUACCAACAAGACUAAUUAUUCAAACUCUAUACCUUUUAUUUGAAUAAAUCGUCGUGAAUGAUAGACGUGCUCUAUCCAACCAACUCAACGUGAAUGAAGCAAAACUUCUUUGUUAUACACAAUAUUAAACUAUUCAAUACUAUAUAUCAAACACUUUUUAUCGUUUCUCACUAUCUUAGUUCUUUUUUUUUUUCCCCUAAAAUAAAAAGAAAUUUUUGGUCAUUUACAAAGUAGCCUCUCCAUCGUUCUCUUCCCAAUAUAUAAGCAUCAAUCUUUUUACCAUCUAUUAGUUGAUUCACCCACAUCUCUCUCUCUCUCUCUCUCUCUCUCUCUAGAAUAAACUAAAAUGUCCAUGAAUCAAACACCAUCAGAAAAUCAAGGUGAAAAACCAGAUAGGUCAUAUGAAUGCAUCUUCUGCAAGAAGACUCUCUCAAAUGCUCAGGCACUUGGUGGCCACAUGAACAUCCACAGGAAAGACAAAGCCAAGCUGAAGCAAUCCUCAAAAGAUCAGACGACGAGAAAAUCCUUGAGCAUCAAUGCUGCUCUUCUUGACAGGGUCGAUACCUCUAGGUAAAUAUGUUUCGUAUACAGUAUUGGAUAAGACUGUAUUGUCUAUUAUUAUAAGUAUUCCUAUUUUUUCUUGAAUACAAUUCAGUUCAGUCAAGUCUAACGUGUCAUCUGUAUCCCCGUUUAGCAAAAUGAAAAGAACGGCGACAUGGCCUUGUAUAGCUUCAUUGGAAAAUAGAAAAUCUCCUAGAGGUGAGGGAGAAACAGCACCGAAAUCCAUUGACACAAAACCAAUUUACAAUCAAGUUUCAGAGGAAACUCUAGUGAAGUUGCCAUCUGGCCAAGAAUUCGAGAGUGCAGUAUUGGAUCUUGAGUUGAGGUUAGACAGUCAGCCUCCAAAAUCAGCAGCUACUAUGAACACGAGAAAAUUGUUCUAAUCAGUUUCUACUCCUCUUGAUACUUGCUAUGUUUAUAUAAUGCUUCAUUUUUCUAGCUUCCAAAACUUUUGAAAGGUCCUUUUACUUUGGAGUCGGGAGCUCUUCGAGAGGUCCCUCGACUGACUUUUCAAAUAGCUUGAUGCAUUGUCACCCUUGUUUUUAGAACACUUGAGAGGCCCUUUUUCCUCUUGGCCGUCUAAAACAGAAAUUGCCUAUGGCAACAGCCAAAAAACGUUGCGAAAGAUCUUUCGCAAUGUUCGGGUGCUUGUUGCAAGAUGUGAUAUUGUCGUUGAGUAGAACGAUACGACAACUUUCAUUGCAUGUUGGUUUACUUUUGGCAACGUUCGCUGAAUGUUGUAUUUAAAAUUUUUGCAACAGUUUCCCCCCUUGUCUUAUAUAUCUUUUGUAAGGUCAAAAACCGUUGUGGUUACUUUUUUGCAAUUUUUUCUACGUGUUGCCUUUGCUUUUUUGCAACGUUUUUUUCGUGUUUCCGUGUACUUUUUACACCAUUUUUUUUAUAUGUUGCUUUUACUUUUUAAAAUUAGUCAUAAUCAAUGUUUUCUUGCCGUUUUAUUUUAUCACUCUUUAUUGUUCUAUCUUUAGUUAGUAGCUACAAAUGUUGGUCAGUAUUUUUCUGACAAACUAUAAAUUGCCCAACUUAACUCGGUAUAAUGCAUAAGGUGAUUAGAAAUGGUUAAGAGAGAUCAAGCAUCAAGAUAUUUAGGCUUUAAUAUAGACGAAUAUAUCUCCACUUAGAAUCGAAGUUUUGCAAAUUGUAGCUGCUCUCCUUGAUCUUCUCUUAGAAACCUAUCUUUGUUGAAAUCAAAUAUGAAAAGAUUUGCAGCAAAACUCAAGUAUAUUGCGAAAUGUCUUGAAACAUUCCUUUGUAACAUAUUGCAAAAUUAAAUUUUAUUAUAUGCAAGUGAUACUUGAAACGGCAUUCCCAAAAUUUUAAGACAUGCCAACGUCAAUUUUACAAGUUCAAUGGCCAACACUCGACCACCUGAAAACAUAAUAAGUAAUUAAAGACGUCUUCAGCAAUGAAAACCUCUUUCAAAGUAUAGUUACCGAUUAAAGGAGUCUUUCUUGCGUGGCAAUUUGUUGCGUCAAGAUCGAUUGCAUAACGGUGUUUGAGUGCCACAUGUACAUUUCGUCUGCCAUGUCACCAAUGUUGUUUGUGAAACGAAUGUCAUGCCAAUGAUUAAGGUAUAACAUUUUGAAUAAGUUUAGUAGCCCAAACUCAACAUAUGAAAUUUUUGUGAACAGUAAAAAAACAUACAUAAGUUCCAUUACCUAAAUAUAUAGUCCCCAGCGUGGGAUAAAAUUAGAAAUUCUUCUCUCUUAAAACUAAUUAAUCGUUCAUCACAAUCUAUUAUAGAAGCUUGCGUUUCUUCUAGAUCACUCUAUAUUCUUAUUACAGAAAUAGAAUAAACGGUUUCUUACAUUUUAUGAAAACCACAACUUUUAUCAUCUUUUUUACCACGCAUUUCUUCAACUUUUAUUAAAAUCUACUAAAAAUCUAAUUUUUAUCUAAAGCAAAUAAAGGCUUACUUAAGGUCAUUAGUUGUGGUGGAUCAUCUCAUGACAACUAUGAAAAGUGUCAAUUAUAAAUUUGUUAAACAUAAAACUUAAUUUUCAUUAUUUGUUGUAGAUCAUCUCAUGACAAUUAUAAUAAAAGGAGUCAAUUAUAAAUUUGUUAAACACAAAACUUAAUUUUUGUUGUUACGCCAGUACACACUAGCUAUGAGAAAACCUGGAAAACCAUUGCCCACCAUAUGAACUACACAAGUUCAUCCAUACAAUUUAUUAACUGGAUACCAAGCCUAAAAGUUUGAAUCCAAUUAAAGCAGCUGUAAUCGACACGUCGUUCUGCUUAUGGGGUCAAAUCUUAUCAAACUGCGUACAAGAGAACCACCAAGUUAUAUGGGAAAAUCAAACUAACACGUCGUCUGAAUGCAGAAAAAGCGAGGAUUCUAUGGCUUUUCAAGACACUACCAAGCAAAAUGAGGAUAUACAGCACGAAGAUGGGCAGGGCAGGACGGGGCAACAUCAUAUAUACAGCAUGAAAAAGGACAUUUUUUAUAGGACCAUAUGGAGAAUGAUGAAGAAUAACAUCUUGAAGGAGGCAAGAUAAAAUGGAACAAGAAGACCAACCUCAAACGAUCAAGAACGAUAGAUUAUACUACCGUUACUUCACUGGAUGUCUAACAGAUAUGCACAUUUGUACACUGGCAUUCUCAAAUCACUGUUAAAAAGGAAGAAGCAGCAAAUAAAAUGAUGUCAUGACCAUUUUACUUGCAUCUAUGCACGACUACAGUUAGCAUGCCAUGCCAGUGUUCGACACAACACCUACAUCAUGUUUGAUUGCACUUAAAAGACUUACUUUCUAUAAAAGCAAUUUCAGUUAAAAAUACUAAAUUUGAAAAUCAUUUUUGGCAAAAAUAAGUUACUUCAAAGCAAGUUUCACAUAAUUUUAAGCACAACUCAAAUGUGCUCAAGUUCGAUUUUUCAAAGCAAAAGUGAUCCUAAUUUUGGUUGCCAAUUCUUGAAUGGUGUGUAUGAACGAAUCUAUCUCUGUAGUCAACACACGUCUCAACCUUUAUGGCCUUCUUUUCAUCAUUUUUAGGGAAGUUACUGCAAUUUUCAAAAAACUCAAAACCUUUCAAAACUUGCUCAUAAGAUGCAAGUUUUCUCAGCCAACUACAUACUUUUGCAGUCUCAUUUAAACAUGAUAAGUUAAACCACUCAAGCAUGUAUGAGCCUAUCUUACAAAGCAGAUCCUUAUCCAUACUUAAACGUCGACUCCACAGGUCCUAGUCAUGAAACAAGUCACAAUUUUAAGCAGAUUGACUACCAACCUAUCUCUUUAUUCAUGCUUAACCAAAAGAUGCAGUUUUCUAUGCCAACCACUUAUGAUUGCAGUCUCACAUGGGAACAUGAUAAGAUGUGCCAUCACUCAAGCAUGUAUGUGCUUAGCUUAACUUGACAAAGCUUUAAAGCUAUGAUGCUCGGACUUGAGGUAUGGGUAUCAGGUACGGAUAUGUAUCUAAGUGUUGGAUCUUUUAUUUUCUAAAAUGUAGGAUACGAGUACAUGGCUAAAAAAAAUCUAAAUUUUGGACAUACGUACGUCAGUACGUCUUUCAAACUUCAACUUUUAACAAACUUAACAUAUUAUUUUGAAUAGACCAAAAUCAAUUAUUCACAAAAAAGGAAAUAAUAUUGAAUAAAGAGUUAAAACGAAUAAAAUAGAAUUUUGAGAUUUAGUUUUCAAUUAUGAGAAUUAAAUUACUAAAUGUUAUAUAAAAUAAAUAUGAAGGAUUUGAUUGCAAUUUGGAUUUAAUGGAGCAUUUAGUAGUAUUAUAGGAAACUCAUUUUCAUUUUAUACAAACAAAACCUUAAACCACUGAUACAGAGAGGGAAAAAAAAAAAAGAAAAAAAAAAGAAAAAAAAGAAAAGGGAAAGAAAAAAGGAGGAAAAAUCUAGUGCCGUCACCUUUUUCCACCCUCUCGAAGGUGGCACUAAGUUUAUAGAGAAUAGAACGAAAAGAGAAGGAAAAGAAAAACGAAAGAAGAAGCGAAAAGGGCGAAGAAUCUGAUUAAAACUUGGAGGAUCCGACACAUCUUAUACUCAUACCCAUGUCGUGUCUGACAAGGGUACUCCAACCAUUUCGAAGAGUCCGAGCAUCAGAGCUUGAAAGUUGACUCCACAAAUCCUAGUCAUGACAAAAGUGACAAUUUUAAGCUGUUUUGACUCCCAAACUACCUAACUCGACCCUUUUAUUCAUGCUUGGAAACAGGUACGUUAAUAUGCAACGAUAACGCCUGUAAUGGAUAGAAUUCAAACAUAUAUUAGCUGAAUCACAAUUUUUUCACCAACCACGUUUAUAUGCAGAGAUAAUGCCCCGAAACAGGUACAUGUUUUUUCACAGAUGUCAGAAGCUUGGGAGCAAAUCCUAGAUUGAGUUGCAAAGUUACAAAUUUACGAGGGAGAAGAGAAGAGUAAAUAUAUGACACAGCUAAAAUGUCAAAUGCCUCAACAGUCAGAAAUUAACAAAAACUGAAUCCUUAGCUGCGAUCUUUUCUCCAUCCACCCAAUAACCAGUAGAACGUACAUCUUUCCAGAAAAAAGGCAUAGGAAUGUGAAUAAAUGUUAAAUCAUAUUUAGCAAAGAUAUAAUCAGUACAUGAAUGAUUAUUAACAGAUUCAUCAUAUGAAAUUCAUGUGUCAACAUUGCAUGCCCCCCACUACAGAGUGAAUCAAUAUGGACAAACAUGAAGCAAAAGGAUCCACCCCACCACCACCACCACCAACAAAUAUAAUAUUAAUAAAAAAAAAUAACAAUAAUUGAACAAAAGAAAUAGCGGGCAGAACACGAACAAAGAAAAUCGAACAGUUAAUGACCUUGUUGAACAAUUAAACCAUAAGUGUUCACAUACAAAAUCGCACCACAGUUAUGCACCAGUAUUGAUUACCAGCUGCAAUCAACAUGGAAACAGGAUGAACAGGAACUUAAAGGUAUCAUGUAGAAUAGAAAAUCAAAUUCUUGGGAAUAACUCUCAGGCUGCCAACGAUACAGAGGUAGAAUUAGAACUCUGACAGAAUUCGAAAUUCAAAUCUCAACCAAGUAAAUAAUUAUUUAAGAGAAACCAACUAAGAGUAAAAUACUUCACCUGUAUGGAGGUCUAAAAUAUGGAGUUGCACAAGAUCUGCUCAACGAAGUCGUCAAGUUGACAAUUAUUCUCAUCUAUCAAUUAACCAGAAAGUCAUUUUAGUAACAAAGUUAUUUAGGGAAAUAACUGUCAAGACCUUCAGGAUGCACAUAAUCAUUCCAAAGAAUAAAAGGUUAGGCACUCCUUACCUGCAAGCUUAAUUGAAAUUCCAACUCACAGAAGACAAGCAAAUACCAAAAUGUAAGCAUAGUAGACACGACAUAGUAAAAGAUGGAAAGCACCACCCAAGCAACAAGAUGAUUCACGUGCACACUUUUAUGUGUCAUGUAAAUAUAACAUAAACAUAUUCCCAGUGAAGGGAAGACAAAUAUUACCAGCAAAUUUAGCAGGAAAGUCAGCAUAAAGUUGCACUCAAGACACUAGCUCAGGAAAUCCUCAUUUAUCCAUUCAGCUGCCAGCAGUAAAGACACAUUACAUUAAAUAGCCACCAAGAAUACAUUCAUCCGAAACAGAAUAGGUCUAGGACAGAAACAGGAACUCAUAACAGGAUCAUAUAACAGAAAAUAAAAGUGAAAUAUUCUAGAGCAGCAAAAAAAUUUAAUUCUGAGCGCCCUUCUUUGCUCGAAGCGACUCAAGAGCCUUUUCCCUCAACUCUAUCUCAAGCUUUUUCUGCUCAGAUUCUGUUUCCUCCAUGUCACUAGUAUGCGUUUCCCGCCUUCUAUAACCGUCAUCAUAAGAAGCAUGACGAUCAUGAUCAAUCUCAAUAUCUAAAGAUGGACUACCAGCGUCAAGCGACUUCAAUUUUAGCUUCUCUGCAUGCUUUUCCUUUUUUCUGCGGCGCCGUUCCUCCCGCCGUCGAUGCCUCUCCUCCUUUUUCAAUUUCUUCUCCUCUUUUUUCCUCCUCUUAGCCUCCUUCCUCUUCUCAUAAGAAUCAUAGCUAGAAUAGUCAUCUGAUUCCACCUCUUGUCUCUCUGACCUCUUGUGCUUUCCCUUUUCUUUAAUUUUAGUUUUAUGCCUGUCAGUUUCCUCAGAGUUGAAUCCCACUGAACGACUUCGAGCAUUCAGCUUGUCUGCCCCAGACAAAUUAGGCAAGACUUCAAGUUCUGAAUGUCGACCACUGCCCUUGGUAUCAUCAUACACAGAUGUAUUCUUAUCAACAGCUCUGUAAUCAUUGUCAACAUAUGAUCCCUUUCCUUCCUCUCUUAAUAUAGCGCUUUUACGAAUCACUAAUGAUUCUUGUUUCUCGGGAUUUAUUAUGUGAUCCACCCUUUCAGCUAACUUUUCACUGGUUUAUUCAAAUAAAAACAGAAAAUACAAAAAAUUAGAUCAGUUAUACACAAACUAUAGACUACUGAGACAGAAUGUACCACAGCAACAGCAAACCUGUCUGGCAGUUGACGAGGAUUUCUUGACUUCACAUGAUCAGCAAAGCCAAAAGAAUCUUUAUGCCGAUCAUGUGAUGGAGAAUUUUUCUCUAAAGAUCUAUGUUUAAGCUUUCCAAUCUCUCUAAAUAAAAAAUAAAACCAUGCACAACUCAGAAAUUUAGAGUAAAAAAUACCACGUUCGAGAACAAUGAACUUUUCAAACAAAACCUAGCAUACAAGGUUUACCUGUCAUCAGCACUUGUCCCAGAACUAUCAGGAUGAGGUUUAGAUCCCAUUCCUUUCGGUAAAGGGUUUGGACUCUCAGGAAGAAUGAUCCUUUCCCUUCUUUGAUAAGGACUACGAUGAGGACUACUAGACCUAUCCAAAUAAAAUGUGACUUACAAUGUUACACCUCAAGAAAAUGUGAUAAAAAGACCAAAAGGUAGAUAUAGAUAGAGGUUUGAACCUCUGCCGUUCAAUAUGAUUUCCUUCCCCAGACACUUCGGAAGCAGAUGGAGACUUGUGCAGAGGAGACGGAUCCAGCACUCUUCCACGUUGGUCAUUUCGAUCCAGCAUGUCCCUUUGUGGUGAUCUCAAAGAAACAAGAGGCCUACAGUUCAGAGUUUGGAUUAGAGUUUAGAGAGAUCAAAGAUCAAGUAAGCCUGCUUUCUAUGCAUAUUCCCCAGCAGCAGGAAUUUUAUGCAUCAAAAAUUUUACAGCUACUGCAACUAGGAAAGUGCAUGCAGAUGGGAAUCCAGUUUGAAUGGAAAUAGAGCAAUAAGUCGAAAUAGUACAGAUGGUCAUCUCAUAACACAAAAUCGUGCAAAAUUCACUAGAUAUAUAAUAGAGAUCUCAGCUCUCUACCCCAGUUUCUCUAAUUUGAAAGCCCAGUUCUUCCAAGAGAUCAAAGGAAAAAGCAGAGAUAAAACAAGAGGGAAGAAAAAGGAGAGUGGCAAUACUGGAAAUAUCACGAUUAACCUCAUUAAACAAAGAGCACAGUUUUUUCUUGUGUGGCUGUUACCAACACUCAAUUAUUUUCAUUUAUCUGCCACAUCAUCAUGAUAUAUUGCAUGUUUCCCUGUCUCUUAAACAAUAAAAACAAAAAUAUGAAUUCUUUUCGAACUAGGAAAUGGACCUUACAGAAAAAAAAAAUUAACUCACAUUUCUGCCCUCCGACUAAAGCUAUAGGAAAGUUCUGUUGCAAUUCAAUGAACUAGUUAUCUACAGUUAAGAAUGGAGUGCCAGCAUAAAGGUAGAAUAUUGGAUAAACAAAUUACUGAUCUUGCCAUUUGAGGCACCUCCUCGUUUAGAGGUCUGUAUUUCAAGCAUGUUCCUUUUAUUCUAUAAAGAAGACACGAGGUUUUUUUUAAUAACUGGGGUAGAUUGGUUGAGUUAUGGUUCAUAUGGGCUGUGCUUAGGUGUUAUGUGGAAGGAUGACAACAGUCUUAAGCACAUAAUUUCAUUGUGUUGUCUCUUCAGUGUUCUUUUAUGUAGAUAACGUCCUGUUCUCUUUUUUAUGAACCAUUACACUGUCGUGACAUAUCACAGUUGCUUAAAAGGGGUGUGUCAUCUCAAUUGAUUUGUUUUUGUCGUAUUCCUAGGCAUCCUAAUUUUAAAAAAAAAUGUCUGUUCCGCCAUUAUCAUUGCUGCAGAUGUGCACUAAAGCAUCUAAACUGUAGCAGUAACAAAAACACAUGCAAACCAUACGCUUGAAACCAAAAUAAAAUACAAAUAUCAAAAAAUUCUUAAAGAUCGAAAGCAGCUAACAUGCUCUAAAGUACCUGAUUGCUUCUCUGGGAGAUCGUAGAGGUGAUUUCUGGCUUUUCAGUGAUCGCCUCCUGACUGGUGAAAGGGAACUGGGAGAGGGGGAAAUA
rnacentral:lncRNA from 1 species